rnacentral:lncRNA from 1 species
GAGGAUUGCAAGUGCGGCGAAUGCCAUCGCAUGAGAGCCAAAGCCAUUAUAGGGUCAUGCCAUGUUUUAGAUUUUCUUCUAGUUUUCUUUUGGUUGGGUUUGCCUCUGCUUUGUUAGACACUGAUGCAAGCUCAUUUUUGAGUUCUCUUAAUCUUACUGUAUCGCUCAAGUUUAAAUUGGUGUUGCCUUUUGCUCCUUUCUGUUUCAUGAACUCUUGCAGUUUUUUCUAUAGAUACGAAGGUUGCAUGUCUUAUAACGUUAAUAUUUGAAGAAGCAUUAGAAAGUUUUCGUCGUUCUUGCCUGCUCUUGUUGGGAAAGUUCCAUUCUAAAAUCAACCCAUGAAGAUUGAUGAGAAUAUUAUUAUUAUUUUUUUGAAAUAAUAGUUUAUUGGUGGAAUGUUUUUGAGGUUGAGGGUAGGUUAGGUGACAUUUUCAGAAGAGGUUUUCGUCAUUGAUUGGUUGUGAUGUAGUUAUUUGAAAGUAGUAGGCUACACAAGCAUUGAAAUUGUUUCUAUGAGUUCUAUGAACUAUUUGACUCAUAGUGUGUUUGAACUUGUGAAAAAUUAUAGCGAAAUACGAGAGAUCAAUUGAGCUAUAAUUCUCAAAAUCAAUUUACCCAUCACUUGCAUAAGUUACUUAUAUAUUACAAUUAUAUAUCUCUAAGUUGAAAUUUUAUCUUUAAGUAAUUUCUUAAUAAAUAGGUGAUGAAUUAAUCAAGUUUCAAAUUUUUGUUAACACUUUCCAACAAAUCCAUACCAGCAUCCAUUCAAAUGUAUAUUUUCAAGGUACAAUAAAAGAACUAUACAUAUAUUUAUAAAAUUAUACUUUUUAAUAUAAUUUGAAAUUUUGUUACAUCUGAAUAAUUGUUUUACAAGAUAUUUUAAACUUUAUUUUAACUAAAUCUAAAUCUAUUUGGAAGAAUAGAUGAGCGGGGAGAUUCGUGUAACACGUAAAUUGAAAGUUGCAUAGAUGUUUCAUAUUAGAUCUUAUCAUUUCAAUAGAAGUAUUGUAGAGAUAUAUACACACAUGUAUAUAAAAUAAUACAUAAUAUAUAUAUAAAGAGGCAACUUUGAAUUGAAGGCAAGGCAAAGCAGAUUUGAACCAAAUGGAACCAACCAUCCCUCUCUCACCUAUCACAACCUGACUUGACUUCUUUUUAACUCAAAAACCAACCCAUGACUUCCCAACUCACAGUUUGGUGUAGUACCUCUUUCACCUCUAUUUCAUAUCCUUUCUCACAACUCAACCUUUUAAUACAACUCUUCUCCCUUUCUUCCUUUUGCUCUCUAUCCCAUCUUUCAUCUCACACUCAAAAACCUCUCCUUUCUUGGUAUCGGGAUCGGCACUUACAUCGGUUUUGGUCUUGGCCUGUCUCCAAAGACAUGGCCGGGUUGGUCACUGGUUCCCAACACUAUCCGCACGUUGUUGAUGAGGUCAUAUAUCAUCCCUUCCUUGUUUUCACUCUCUUUGAUUGUUAUAAUUUUGUCAUUUAGUUUCUCAACUUUAAACAUGUUUCUAAACUUUAGUAUUGUGUAUAUGUAGAGUCACCGUGGACCUCCACUCUCGUCGAAAAUCUGUCGAGUUUGUGGUGAUGAAAUAGGACUGAAAGAAGAUGGAAAAGUAUUUUUGGCAUGUCUUGCGUGUAAUUUUCCUGUUUGUCGUCCUUGUUAUGAAUAUGAAAGGAGCGAAGGAAACAAGUGUUGUCCACAAUGUAACACUCGCUACAAGCGUCACAAAGGUACGUUAUACUUCGUUCUUAUUUUACUCUAAAUUUCAUUACAAGCUAACUCAUUAUUUAUGGUAAAAUUAAGGUUAAUAUACUAUUAGUCCAUGCAUCUUAAUAAGUAAUAUAUCUGAUUUUAUAGGUUCACCCAGAGUGAUCGGCGACGAUGAAGAAGCUGACGAUGCUGAUGAUUUUGAAGAUGAAUUCCCCAUUAAACACAACAAAAACGACGAAUUUCAAGCAAAACAGCCUAAUCAUUCGGUAACGUAGAAAUGAUUUUGAGAGUAAGUUAAAACAGAGGAAUUCAAUUCAUGGGUUUUUAUGUUGUCCAGGAAAACGAUGGGUACAAUGAUCAGAAUUGGCAUAAGAAUGUGCAGAGCUCGUUCUCAGUUGCAGGAAGUGGUAUAGUUCUAAUCCAUGGUGGUUGUGUGUUUUGUUUUUGGUUUAAUAAUUUGGAAAUUUGGAUGGUGUUGAACUGAUGAUUUGGUUCAUGGAAAUUGUGCAGUGAAUGGAAAGGACAUGGAAGGGGAGAAGGAAGGUGGCUAUGGAAGUGUAGAAUGGAAAGAGAGAAUUGAUAAAUGGAAAGUAAGACAAGAGAAGAGAGGUUUAGGGAAUAAAGAGGAUGGAAGUAACAAUGAUCAAGAAGAAGAUGACUACUUGUAAGCAAAUUCAAUCCUCUUUUCAUUCUUCAUUAUUUUUAUUUCCUUACCUAUUUAGUGUUUAAUAUAACGUUCAAUCUCAAAAGAGCGUUUGAAAUUUGAUAUUAUAAUUUAAGGUUAUAAUAAUCUGUGUUCCUUACCUUUAUUAUUUUAGUUUGAGUUCUACUGUUUUGUAUUUAGAAAUUGUAUGGAUGACUCGUAUUUAGGGUUGAUUUAUUUUAGUCUAAGUUAUUGAUAACCUGUAUUUAGGUGAAAAUCAUUUUAACCUAUAUCGAUAAAUAGUAAAUCAGAUAACAAAGAAAAGUAAAGAAAGUGCUAAGAAACACAUUUGAAAUGACAAUUUUAUAACAAAGCAUCAAAUAUUAUAAUUAGAGCUUCAAACAUAAAAUGAGAUACCUCAAUUCAAUUUUGCAUCGAAUAGGUUUUUCUUUAAUAAAUUUGUAAUAUUGUAUAACGUGUAAAUAUCACGUUUGACAUUUUUUUAAAUCGACCAUUCUAUUAGACAAAUUGAGUUUACAUGCUUUUAUCAUAAAUAUUUUUAAACAACAAUUCUUGGGUAAGUGACUCUAAACUCAUUUUAGAUUCCAAUUUUCACCUAAGAUUUUUUUAAAAAAUUGUUCUUAUGAUAAUGAUUAUAAAAAGUUAUGUAGAAUAUUAUAAAGUUCUUAAAAGAAUAAUUUUGUUAACUUUGUUUGCAAUUUAGCCAUUAAUUUUAUAUGUAAUUAUGAAAGAAUGUGAGUCGUGGCAGAUUGGCGGAGGCCCGGCAGCCAUUAUGGCGGAAACUACCAAUAUCGUCAAGCAAAAUCAGUCCAUAUCGGAUCGUCAUUGUUCUCCGUCUCGUAAUUCUUGCAUUCUUCUUCCGAUUUCGGAUCCUUACUCCGGCCUACGACGCAUUCCCCUUAUGGCUGAUCUCCGUCAUAUGCGAAAUCUGGUUCGGCUUCUCCUGGAUUCUCGAUCAGUUCCCCAAAUGGGCACCAAUCAACCGAGAAACUUACCUCGACCGUCUCUCCAUGCGGUUCGAGCGCGAAGGCGAGCCCAAUCUUCUCUCACCGGUCGAUUUCUUCGUCAGUACAGUGGAUCCUCUGAAAGAACCGCCGAUCAUUACCGCCAACACCGUCCUCUCGAUUCUCGCGGUUGAUUAUCCGGUGGAGAAGGUCAGCUGCUACGUUUCGGAUGAUGGAGCGUCGAUGUUGCUGUUUGAUACACUGGCGGAGACGGCGGAGUUUGCUCGGAGGUGGGUGCCGUUUUGUAAGAAGUUUAGUAUUGAACCUAGAGCUCCGGAGUUUUACUUCUCGCAGAAGAUGGAUUACUUGAAGGAUAAGGUGUUGCCGAGCUUUGUGAAGGAGAGGAGGGCAAUGAAGGUAAGAUUUGAUUUUAUUAAUGGUUUGAUUGAUUUUGAUUGUGAAUUGAGGCUGAAUUGGUGGUUAUUUUGGAGCAGAGGGAAUAUGAAGAGUUCAAGGUGAGGAUCAAUGCGUUGGUGGCGAAGGCUCAGAAGAAACCAGAAGAGGGAUGGGUUAUGCAAGAUGGGACUCCAUGGCCUGGAAACCUCACCCGUGAUCAUCCUGGCAUGAUACAGGUCCGCCAUUUUUAUGCUGCCAUAAAUCCUCUAACCUUCAAUUCUUCUUCUUCCCCAUAUACUGCAUAUCAUUAACAUUGUCCAUUUUUAUGCUUUGCAGGUGUAUCUGGGGAGUGAAGGUGCACUUGAUGUCGAAGGCAAAGAGUUGCCUCGUCUUGUAUAUGUUUCUCGUGAGAAACGCCCUGGAUAUCAACACCACAAGAAAGCCGGUGCUAUGAAUGCACUUGUAAGUGGCUCUUCUCCUGCUUCAAAUGAUUUUAACAAGACUAUGAGAAUGAACCUUAUUGUAUUGGGUGCCACAGGUUCGAGUCUCUGCAGUCCUCACAAAUGCACCAUUCAUCUUGAAUUUGGAUUGUGAUCACUACGUCAACAAUAGCAAAGCUGUAAGGGAAGCCAUGUGCUUUCUAAUGGACCCUCAGCUUGGAAAGAAACUAUGCUACGUUCAGUUUCCUCAAAGAUUUGAUGGUAUUGAUCGCCACGAUAGAUAUGCUAACCGAAAUAUAGUGUUCUUUGAUGUAAGUCGGAAGCUCAUUUGACGUAUUAAUCAUGUCUUUGUUUAAACUCCAUUGUUAUUGAGUGGAUACUAACUGCAAUUGCAGAUCAACAUGCGAGGACUAGAUGGAAUCCAAGGCCCAGUUUAUGUUGGCACAGGAUGUGUCUUCAACAGACAGGCUUUAUAUGGAUAUGAACCACCAGUCUCAGAGAAAAGGCCAAAGAUGACAUGUGAUUGCUGGCCUUCUUGGUGCUGCUGCUGCUGCUGCGGUGGAUCAAGGAAAUCGAAGUCCAAGAGGAAAGGAGAAAGAGGUUUGCUUGGAGGCUUGUUCAAGAAGAAGAAAAUGAUGGGGAAGAGUUAUGUAAGGAAAGCUCCGGGACCAGUUUUUGAUCUUGAAGAGAUUGAAGAAGGGUUUGAAGGUUACGAUGAGUUGGAGAAGUCAUCACUCAUGUCCCAGAAGAAUUUUGAGAAAAGAUUCGGGCAGUCACCAGUUUUCAUCGCUUCCACCCUUAAGGAAGAUGGAGGUCUGCCAGAAGGGACUAAUAGCACAUCACUCGUUAAAGAAGCCAUCCAUGUGAUAAGCUGUGGUUAUGAAGAUAAAACAGAAUGGGGAAAAGAGGUUCGUGGCCGUGGCCGAGGCCAUUGGCACAAUGCUUUUAUAUUCUUUAAUUUUAAAACCUCCACGUGAAUUUAAGUAACACUUCCUGGUGAACAAAUAUGUUUCUUUUGCAGAUAGGUUGGAUUUACGGGUCUGUCACUGAGGAUAUUUUGACUGGAUUCAAGAUGCAUUGUAGAGGAUGGAAGUCGGUGUACUGCAUGCCCCAUAGACCAGCGUUCAAGGGAUCGGCUCCGAUAAAUCUUUCGGAUCGUUUGCACCAAGUUCUGAGAUGGGCUUUAGGUUCUGUUGAAAUCUUCCUCAGCCGACACUGCCCGCUGUGGUAUGCUUAUGGAGGAAAGCUAAAAUGGCUUGAGAGGCUUGCUUACAUCAACACUAUUGUUUACCCUUUUACUUCUAUUCCAUUACUUGCUUACUGCACAAUCCCUGCUGUCUGUCUUCUCACUGGAAAAUUCAUUAUCCCCACAGUAAGUGAUUCAUCACUGUUCUUUGUUGCAUCUCUUCUCAAUCAACUUAAAACAACCAAGUGUUCAUCUACAAGCACUAAAAUAUGAGCAUAUUUUCUGCAGUUGACGAACUUGGCUAGUGUCUGGUUCAUGGCCUUGUUUAUUUCCAUCAUUGCAACGGCGGUGCUGGAGCUUCGAUGGAGUGAAGUGAGCAUUGAAGACUUAUGGCGUAAUGAGCAAUUCUGGGUGAUUGGUGGUGUCUCUGCACAUCUUUUUGCAGUGUUCCAAGGCCUUCUCAAGGUCCUUGGUGGAGUAGACACCAACUUCACAGUUACAGCAAAAGCCGCUGAAGACACCGAGUUCGGAGAGCUCUAUCUUUUCAAGUGGACGACUCUUCUUAUCCCACCAACCACUCUCAUAAUCUUGAAUAUGGUUGGAGUGGUUGCUGGAAUUUCAGAUGCAAUCAACAAUGGCUACGGUUCAUGGGGUCCUCUAUUUGGAAAGCUGUUUUUCGCUUUCUGGGUCAUUGUUCAUCUCUAUCCUUUCCUCAAGGGUCUGAUGGGAAAACAAAACAGGACUCCCACCAUUGUUGUCCUUUGGUCCGUGCUUCUUGCUUCCAUAUUUUCACUGGUUUGGGUGCGUAUUGAUCCCUUCUUGCCCAAGCAAACUGGUCCUGUCCUCAAACAAUGUGGAGUUGAUUGCUAGAUUUGCUCUAUGAUGCUCCCCUUUCACUUAUUUUUGUUGGGUUGCCUCAGUUGUGUUCGAAUGUUUGAAGUUUUGAGAUCUGUAGCCUUUUGUUGUUUGAAUGAAUAUACAAAAACAUAAUGAACUUCAUUUCGAUACAUAAUCUCACAAUAUUAGUUUCAUAUGUAAAAACACACCAAAAUGGUAUUUCAUGAGAAUACAAUGGGCAACUGAUUCACAAACAAAUCAAUAUAAUCAGACUAUUAGAAGGAAGUCAAACCGUUAAACUAAUUUACAAACAAAUAAACAAACUUUACAUAACUAAAUAGAAGAAAAUAAAAGAGUUGACAACAAAUAAACAGUUCUCCAAAAGCUUCAAGCUGCAACUCCUCUACUAUUCAAAGCUCUCUCCAACCUUGUUUCAAAUGGUGUGGAGUGCCACUUCACUGUCUUAUCCUGCACUCACAAACAAAAGGACAAUUGCUAAGAAAUUCUUCGUCUAAAAACAUUUUUUCCACUUAAAAAGCCAUUUCAAACUGAUCCCUUAAAUAACUGCUUCAAACCCAUACCUCUCGAUACUUGCUAGUUGUAUUUGGUAUUCCUUUAAAUGAAGAAGCUGAAUCGCAAUCCUUAUGACUCACUCCUUGUCUGUGAUACAUCCCGGCCGUUCCAACUUCAGACAUCUUGCUGUGGCCGCUUCCUUUCAGAGAGCUCGAUCCUUGCAAUGUCCCACUUUUCAGUGGAGUCAUAGUGGCUUCUAAAGCCAUUGUUGGAGUAAUCUUGACUGGUGUUGCUUGUGAUGAAGGCAACCAGUUAGAAAGGCUGGCAUCAACACACGGUUCUCCACUCGGCUCGGAACUGUAUGGAAAUCCAUCAACACUUGAUUCUUGUUCUAAUUUGGCAUUCUCUUUCUGAAGUUUUGGUGGAAAUUCCUUCUUGGAUUUCACAGCAUUCCAUUGAGAAAGAUUUUCAACUGGAUUCAGUACGGAGGAAACAUAAGCAGUCCUAUGCCUCACAUUUGUUGGGUUUAACCUACAAACAUCCAUUGAACUUUCAUCCACAGAAGAAUCUUCCUUCAUUGAUUCAACUAUUCCAAGUUCAUCAUUUUCAUCACUGUCAAGAUGAGUAUCAAAAACCUCAUCCUCAUCUUCAUCAUCACUAUCCUUACAGUUCCCGUAUCGAUGAAUUCGAGGGCAAGAUGAUUUGAAGUUGGCAUUGAGAGGAACAACAAAAUCUUCAGAAGAAGAUUCGGAUUUGCUUAGUUUUUCCUCACUGUCUUCUUCCUCCUUCUGGCCUUGUUUCUUCCCAUGAACUGAAACAGCAUCUUGUUGUGGUAAAACAAUAUGCUCAUCCUCGUGAGAUUUCACAGAAGCCACUUCUAACCCAUCAAUCCUAUUCCUAUGAUCAUAAGCCUCGUUGUUCUUAUUUCUAACCAAAACCAAAAUUAUACAAGAAAAAAAAAGUUAAAUUACACCAAAUAUCACAGUGGUAGAUUUCAACUAUGAUCUUUAAAAGGUUCUACUUUUCCAGUCGAAGUUUGAAUUUGUUCCAAAAAAAGUAUAUUAUUGGUUAAACCUAUGAACAAAUCUAAACUCAAAACUAAAUACAAUUUCUUAAUACCUAGAAACAAAAUGAAGAUCAAAUUAAAAAACUCAUAGAUAAAAGUGUAACUUCUUGAAACAUAUAAACAAACCAAUCUUCCCACAUGUAUAACAAAAUAAUAAAAUUAUAAUUCGAGAAUUGAAGUACUCACCCAGCUUCAACCGGAUGGAAGAGUGUAUUGUUAGAGUCGUCAAGCAAAGUAUGAACAGAAGAUUGGUGGGUCUUAGCGAUCGCAUUCCUCUGCACCAAACCCACAUCAAAAUUAGCCAAAUUAUUCAAUAACAGUUCGCCCCCACAAAUUCUUUUUUGCUCAUUAGAUAAAAAAGAAAGAAAAGAAAGAAAGAAAAUUAAUUAAGGACCUGAAUAACGGUGGAAGGGUGAUGAUUCUUGAGGCGUUUGGAGUUUUUAGAAGAACCAAAGCAAGCAAAAAAGCAACCCAUCGCUUUGUAAUUACUUUAGAAGAAGAAGAAGAUUGGGUUAAAAAUGGUGGUCUUUCAUGGAAGUUCGGUUCGGAAAGGGAAGAAGAAAGGAUGUGGAAAUUUGAAAUUUGGAGCGGAGAGCUUGUGGGUUUCUUUUAGCAUUGAGUUUAUUUUAUUGUAAUUUGAAGUUAAAUUUGUAUUUAUUGUAAAGAGUAAAGUAAGUGACCGUUGGAAUUGGAAUUUGAAAUUGUAACCAACAAAUAGACUUUUGCAAAUUCCACAAUAAAUAUGAUUAAAUUAAAUAAAAAAGAGCAAAAAAAAAUUAUUCCCUUCCACUAAUUGCUUUAUAAUUUACGACGUCAUCUUAGUUUAAUGAUAACGGAUUAUACGUACUUUCAUUUCUAAUUUGAAUAUAGUAAGUAAAAUUCGGUUAUGUGUUCUAAAUUUGCGGUUUGGAUAAGAGGAGUUUUGAAAUAAGACUUCGUGAUAAAGACGUUGGUGUUUGAAUCAAUCCAUAAGAUCUUAUAUGAUUAAGUAUAAGUUCUUUCGCGAGAAAAGUUGGUUAGUUCGCAAAAGAAGUUACUAUAUUAGGAUCUUUGAAAUUUAUAUUAAGUGGUUAAAGAUAUUCGCGAGAAAAACUGCAUGACUAAUAUAAUAUUAAUUUUACACGUGUAAAGCUUUAAGUUUGGCUCACAAUAUCUUUCGUCCAAUCUCUCAUCUUCAUAUCUUGUAUGUAUUUAUUUACCAUUGUUUAUGGCUUCCUUUGAAUGAAUAUAAUAUAACAGUUCUUUAACCUAACAUUUCACCUCUCUUUUUUUGGUGGAUUUUUUUUGUUAUAUUUAAAUCUUUUAAGAAAGCAUGUCCAAAAAAAAAUUAAAAGUCAUUUUUAAAAAUAAUAAAAUAAACUAAAAUAUUUACAAGUUAUAGCAAAUUUUUGUAUUCUAUCAUUAAAAGUCUUCUAUCAUUAUAACAUAUCAACGACUAUUGAUAGAAUUUGUUAUAACUUGGAAAUAUUUUGUAAAAUCUAUUAUUUUUUUUAAAUAUUAAAUAUUAGACCUCGUAAAUUGAUUUACUCAAACUAAAUGAAAUUAACAACUUUCCUAUAAUAGCUAUAUUCUACACGUUUUUUUUUGUCCUUUCAUUCAUUUAUACUUUUUAAUAUUGGUUUUAAAUAUGAGUAAGAAUUGAGUAUGAGUUUAAACUAAGGUGAACGAACAUCAACCACACAACAAAAAUUAAAAAUUUUAAAUGAGUUAUAGAUAAUUUGAUAAAUUUUGUAAUUAUUUUUUAAAAUGCAUCUUUUUUAAUUAAAAAAUAAUAUUUUUUUCUGUAAAGAAAACACAUGUUCAAUUUUUGAAAAACAAAUUUAAUGUUUAUAUAUAUAUAUAAGUUAUUAAGUAAUUUAUUAUAUAGGCGUUGAAAUUUACCUUUUGAGUUUUUAAUUACAAAUACUUUUCAAACCACAUAAUAAAAAAUGGUCAAACCUAUCGAAAUUAAUUUAAUGAAAUUGAAUGCUUAGGGUAAAUUUUAAUAUAAAAUUAUAAUUGUGUGAAUAAAUUUUGAUUAUUUUUCAACAAAAUAAAAAUGAAUAAAUACUAGGAGAUUAAUAUAAGGAUGUAAAGAGGAAAAAGAUAAAUGGGGUGAGAGAGGCUCGAACUCUCGACCUCAGGAUUACUCGGAAGCUAUGAGACCUACGCGCUAGCCAACUGCGCCACCACCCCGCCGUUGAUGAACACAUAAUGAUUAUAAAACCAAGUCUUAAAGAUUUUUAGAGUUAAUGGUUACUUUUGUUAUUUCAGCAUUAAGAAAAUGAAACAUAAAUCGAAUUACAUAUUAAAAUAAAGAAGAUCCAUUGUUUUAAAAACAAAAAAACCCUUUAGAAUUAUAAAUGUUCAUAGCACCACUGUCGUCACCGAUACUCUUAGAUUUGUUGUGUUAGAGGCAAACUUAAGCACCCUAAAGGAAAAACUUGACAUUCAUUUGUAUUUAGUUGAAUAUGUCACUCGUUGAACUAACUUUUGAUAUUACAGUGCAUUAAGCUCUAGUAUUCACAUCAAUGCAAAGAGUUUCUUUCGUAGGUUAACUAAUAGUGUAUAUUGAGAUCGAAUAAAGGGAGAGCAAGUCGAAGAUGAAGAUCACCAAGCACCCACACCAAAGUCUAAUACAUACGAGAAUCAAGUACCAAAACAACAUAAAUAUUGGUGGAUAAAACGUCUACUUUAAGUUUUGGAAGAAUGAGAAAAACUUUUCUUAUAGCACGAGAAAAACGCGUUAUGCAAUUUAUGUCACUCGUUGUACUAGCUUAGACAUUACAGUGCAUUAAGCAUUAGUAUUCACAUCGAUGCAAUAAUUUCUUUCAUUAGCUAGCUUAGAUAAUAUAUUGAGAUCAAAUAAAGGGGAAGCGAAUCGAAGAUCAACACCACCAAACACCUACAACAAAGUCUAAUACAUACGAGAAUCGAAUGUCAAAACAAUAUAAAUAUUUUUUCUUAUAACAUGAGAAAAACUCGUUACGCAAUUUAUUGGAGUUUAGAAAUUGAAACGAACAGUGAUUGAAAGGAAAAAAAAAAAGAAAUGGGGUGAGAGAGGCUCGAACUCUCGACCUCAGGAUAACUCUUUAGCUAUGAGACCUACGCGCUAGCCAACUGCGCCACCACCCCUUGCCUGAUUCCCCAUGAAGAUUAAUUAAGAACCCUAACCUAAAUUAAUGUUUUAAUUAUCACAAUUUGACUUUGAUUAAUUUAUUCAAUUAAUAUGCUACACUUUUUUUUUUUUUGUCUCUUUUUAAUUUAAUUGAUAAUUUAAUGUCUCUCCUAUUCUAAGAAAUAAAAUAUUUUCUAAAAAAUUUAGAUUUUAAAAUUUUGUUUUUAAUCUAAAUAUAUGCCCAACGAAUCUGAAGAUGAGAAAAUUAAAUAAAUUAAAUAAACUUUUCUAUAUUAAAUUUUCUUAAUUUUUUUGAAAAUUUGAAUUUUCACUCAAAAACAAUUGUCUAAAUUUCAUUUUAUAUAGGAAACCAAGUUAGAGUAAUAAUCAAUGGUUAUUAAUAUUGUACCUAUAAAAGAUGCAUAUUUAUUUUUUAAUGGCACAUUUUAAACAUAAUUUAGGGUAAUGUUCAUUUUCCUAAAGUCCAUCAUGGGACUUAUAACUUUUAAUAAUAAAUAUAAAUGUUGAUAGAAUCUAAAAUUUUUGUUAUUUUUUAAAUAUUUUAAAGAAUUAAUAGAAAAAAACAAAUUAUUUACACUUAUUUUUUAUAUUAAGAGUAUAUAUUCUGUCAAUUUUUGACAAGUUUUCAUUCAUUAUGCUAUUAUUUGAAAAUCAUACAACUAUUAAUUAUCCUUUACAAAUUAAAACAAAGAUUUGUUUAUUUCUUUUCAUUAUUAUUUAUUGAUUUGGGAUAAAAAAAUAUAUUAUAAGGUCAAAAAUACAUAAUAAUUGAUGCAUGUAUCAUGUUUGAACGAUUUUAAUUUGGUAUGUUCUUCAUUAUUAUUAUUAUUAUAUUAUACCCUUACAAUAUAUUUUAUACUACAAAACAUUUUUCUUUUUAUUUAAAAAUAGAAUUAAUUCUACUUUUGUUAUUUUAAAAGUUAGAUUGUGGUACUCAAAAGUUUCUAUAUUUUGUUUUAUGAUAUUCUAUUAUAUAAAAAUGAGAACAGUAGAUCAAUUAUUUAUUAAAUAAAUAAAUUAAUCAAUAGAAUAUUGGAAACGAAAUGUCAUAAUCGAAUAAUGGACCUACGCAUUAGUAAGUUACAAAGGCAAUAAUAAUAAGUCAAAUUUGUCAUUUUCUUUUGCUCUUCUUGGCUAAUAUUGCAUAAUAUAUAUAUAAUUUUAUAAAUAAUAUAUGUAUAUGAUAUGAAUAUACACACACAUAUACAUAUCUUAAUCUGAUUUUGUAACCAUUGACUUAUUGAUAUUUCUUUUAAAAAUAAAAGACUUUUGGAAUCCUUGCCCAAUUUGAAAAUAAAUUUGUGAAAGUUAUUUGUUUAAAUUUAGUCAAUAUUUUAGAAAAGUAUAAUAGAAAAUAAAGUGUAUGAAAAGAACAUUGAAUUAGCAUUAUUGUUUGAUUAUAAAUAAAAUAUCUUUAAAGAAUUUUAGUUUUUGGACAAUUGUCCGUAUAAACAAGAUUAUUAGGUCGUAUAAUUGAUUUAGUUGCCAUUUACGUCAAAUUAAACCUACUGUAAUAAUUGCUGGAGUGAUGAUUUGAAUCCGGAACCUCUUGUCAAUAGAAACAUAACUCACAAGCUAAACUCAUGUUAACAAUAUUUCAUAUUUCGACAAUCUAUAAUCCGUUAAAAUUUGCUAAUCAACAAUAUUUAUUUGGAACAUUUUAUAAAUUAGCAAAAUAAAUCAAAUAUUAUUUAGUAUCUAUCGUUUAUAGAAUCUGAAAAUUUUGAUAUAUGUUAUAAAUAUUUUAUCAAAUUAAAAUUUACUAUUUUCUACCGUCCCUUUACCAGGAAGAAGAAAAUGAAAGUAGUUGUGGGAAAAUUUUAAAUUAUAAACAAAGUUGACUUUAUAUUUAUCAAUAUCAAUAAUAAUUAUAUUUUUUAGUUACCAAUAGUUGAUGGCAAAAAGUUACUUAGGAGAUCGAUUUACAUUGAACGUAGGUAUUGUCGCAUUGGAUACUAACUUUGUAUCAAAUAAGGGAGUAGGCUUCUUCUUCAAACUUCCAACCACAUAAUUGUCCCAUUUCAUUUUCAUAUCCCAAAAACUUAGCUUUAACCAAAUUUGUAAUAUGUAACUAAAAGUUUAUCUAUUAUUGCUCAAUUCAAUUUAUAUAAACUAUAUGAUUUCUUUUAUACGAAUUCAUGUGGUUAAAAAAUAAAAUCUACCUAUAUAAAUUUAAAAUAUUAACAUUGGAAAGUGUAUUUUAAGUGGAAUGAUUAAAAGAAACUAUAAUUUGAUCCAAGAGGGAGAAAAAAUACUUCAUGAAAAAUGGGGUUGUAAUUCUUUAUUUAUAUGUAUAGAAAAAGCAAAAAGUUAGAUCUCAAAUCAUAAUUUUAUUUUAUUUAAAAAAGUACAUAAUCAAAUUUAAUUCAACAAAAUCUAAUAUUUAAUGUGUAUACAUUUCUUCUAAUGAUAUCAAUAUCUAUUUUACACCCAAACAAAUGUUUAAAUCGAUUGUCACACACCUAAAAAAUAUAUCUAUAAUUUAAUGUUUUUUAAUGUCAAAUUAUAUUAUCGUAUAACCCGACAACAAAUUACUUCAAGAAGCAAAAUGAAAAAUAAACGUUCUUUUAGAUUAGAUAUUAUGAAUAUAAUUUGGAGGUUCGGUCUUUUUACCUCACAUAUUCUAAAAAAUAUAUUUUCUUUAUUCACUAGAUUAUUCUCAAAUUAAAAUAAAACUAAACUUUUUAAUUUUUAUCAAAUUUUAGAGUAAAGAUUACAAUUUUUCUUAGAUAGUAUUAUUAGAAAAGCAAAUUACGAAGAUUUUUACUCUUUUAUUAAGUUUGUAAUAUAUUAUAAUAUCAAAUUUUUCUUACAAUUAAAAUCACAAAUAAUUAACACCGAGAGGUUUUAAUUAUUUUUCUUCCCAUUGGUUGAGUAUAAAGACUGAAACGUUAAUAGUUUAAUUACAAAAUAAUUAAUCCCAUUUAAAAUAAACCGUUGAAAAAUAAACAUAUUAUUAACUGAAAGUUAAUAUAAUUAAACAACAAUAAAAGCUUAACUUAUUGAGUGUAUUUGUAAUCAUCUAAAUUCAAAUUUCCCUAAUUAAACAACAAUAAAAUAAAGAGUUUGUAAUGUAAAGAAAAAAAAAAUGUAAUGUUUGAAGUCGAGAACAAAAAUUUAGUUUUGUUUUCUCGUUUGAAGUAUAAUAAGACAUGUAUACGUAGGAAGAAUGAAGCGAAAUUUACAAUUUUCUUUUAGAAUUAUGAUGGAAUAAUUUUUUCGUUAUCCUACACAAGUUAGGAUUAGACGGUUUUAAAUCAAUUAAUUAUUGUUCUUAGACUCAUUUUAGCCGAACUCGACAUUACUCACAUUCAAGUCCUUUUUCUUUUUGGGUUGAACAAAAGCCAAAAAUUGUAGCAGUGGUCCAACCUUAUUUUCCCUACCUUUGCAUAUUUAGGUAGCUUCAAUUUCUCCUACAACAUUAUGUUUGUUUUUCCCUUUACUGAUUUUGUAUAUAAAAACUAUAUAAUAAAAAAAGAAUUACAAUUUUAGUUUUCAAGUUGUGAAAAAUACGUGUGGUUAUUACUGCGUUAAUAAACAUACUGUUUUAGUUAUCGUUUAAACAAAUUUAAAAGACUAUUAAAGUUUCUUUUUAUAAAAUUAAUCAUACGACAUCUAAAAUUUCUAAGAAAUAGUUUUGGAGAGAAAUGUUGGAUGUAUUUAAAUAAUACGUAUAGGUAAAGUGCGGAAUAUGUAUAUUUAUUAAAUUAGGUCUAUUAUGUCAUCCAUGAUUCCUAAUUGAGUAUGGAAGGGUAGAAGCCAAUUCCUACACUGACCAGAAUUUAAUGAAAAUCAUAAUUGAACUAGUAUAUAAAGAGAUUUAAGGUUAUGGUCUCGAGAAAGAUUCCACUAAGAGCAUUUAGAGUUUUGGUUGACUAAGACAAACUAUUUUACAUCCAUCGUUAGUUAACCAGAGAUAGAAUCUAAUAAGUAAUUUAUUAUUGACAAUUUGACAUGAAUAAUAAUGGAUUAAUAUGUUAUAUAGAUUUAAAGUAUUUAUACUAACAAGAAACCGAUUUUUAAAAAUUGUUUGUUUAAUUUAAAAUGACAUAUGACUAGUUAAAAUAAGUUCGAAGUCCAUUUUUAAAAACAAGGGAAUAAAAAGUUGUCCAAACAAAUAACCUUUAGACCUCAACUAGGAAUGAAGGUUGAGUGUGACUAUAAAAAAAGACUGGACCUUCAAGUGGCAACUGUGAAUUUGUAAUUAGGGAGGGAAAAAUACUCCAAAUACAUAUGAAAAAGGCUUCAACGCUAGAGUAAAAAGAGCAGAAUAGUUAAGAAAUUUAGGAGUUGUAAGUUUAGGUUAGGUUAAACAGAACCGUAAGAAGAAUAUAUUUAAAAGGAGAUUUGAUGUGGCGUUUAAUAUAAAGUUUUUGGCAUUCCUAAAUCCUAAUCAGAGUUAGAUGUUAUUUUAUCUCUAACUUAAGUACCAAAACUGACACAAAAUCGAAUGCCUUGGGAAACCCAAAUUCUCUUUAUAUUUCGGCAUGGCAUGAAUAAGGCAAAUUAAAAGAAACAGAUUUUAAAAUCGGGGGAGUAAAUAGGUAAAGAGGGGAGGAAAGGUUUUUAAAAACAAAAUGAUAGGGAAGCGAUAAAUAAGAAUCUAGUUCCCUUCUUUUUUCUGAAAAACAGAUGAGUCGUACGUUUGGCAUGAAAAAGUGGAAAACCAAAAAACCCCUAAUCUCAAGGCUAUUUUCGUCAUUUAAUCUCUCUCCAUUGUGGCUUUUUCGUAAUUUUCUCAAAACAAUAAGCCCAAAUCCAUAUCUUCUCUUCUAUAAAUAACACCAUCCCUUACCUUUCCCUCCCCCUCCCCUUCCUCUUCAACUUCCUCUAUUCCAUUCUCUCUUUCUUUCUAUUUUUCUCUUCCCCUUGUUUCUCCUUUUCUAUUUUUGCCCCCCUCCCUCCCUCCCUCUCCUUUAUCAAUUACUAAACUAAUUUAUCAGCCUGGCUUCUGGGGGUUUAUUUGUGAAAUUACUAAAACAUAGGGAUUGGGCGUGGAAAUUUUUGGAAGGGGUUUUUAUUUUUAUAUUUUGCUAUUAUUUUUAUUAUUUGCUGACGUGGCAUGCAUUGUGGGGGAGUAGUAGUAGUAGGUUUAGGUUAAGAAGAGAGAAGAAGAUUUGAAGGAUGAUGAAUAGUAAUACCACCAAAACGAUGCGUUUACCUCCUCGUAGAUUAAUGACGUCACCUAGGCCCAACAACAAGAGGAAAGAAAGAGAGGGCCUUGAUUAUGAUGAUGAUGAUGAUGAGGCCCACCAACUGCCAUUGACGGCUAAAGUACCCAAGCCGACGCCGACGCCGCAUUCCAAGCAGCUCCUUGCCGGCUACUUGGCUCACGAGUUCCUCACUAAAGGAACGCUCUUCGGUCAGACUUGGGAUAAUCCAGAUCCGGCUGCUAAUGCUAACGCUAACGCUAUGGCUUCUUCCUCUUCUUCCUUUUCUUCCUUUUCUUCUUCUCCUCCACUCACUACAGAGCCUCAAGAGAAGCGCCAAGCCGAAGCCCAAUUACACCACCCAAAGAAGAAUUACCAAUCCUACGUGGAGGUGGCUAAUUUGUUGAAACACAAUGGGCCCCACCUUGAAGGUAUUGUAAAUCCCACCCAGCUAGCUCGCUUCCUUAACCUAUGAUGAUGAUGAUGAUGAUGAUUUUCUUCCUUUAAUUAAAAAAAUAUAGUAUUGAAAGGAAAAAUAAUAUCCUAUUUUCCUCAAUCUUUUUUUUUCUGUAUAUUUAUCAGAAUUAGUUAAAUAAUAGAUAGAUUAUUGCAAGUGACAAAAUAUUAAUGCAAAUAAUAAUUUUAAGAUUGAUUGAAAAAUGAAAGAAGUAUAAUGGUAUAUUAGAAUUUUAUUUAUAUAUAUAUUUGUCUCUCCGUUACCUUAGCUGUGUGUAACAUGUGAUGUGGACCAUCUUUUUAGGGGGACCGCUUAAAUGUCUUUAAAUAAUAUAGUUUUUAAAAGAUCAAUUCCGUCCAUAAUUUUUUAAAUUUAUAGAAAAAUUAGAUGACUUUGUUAUAUUUUAUUAUUAGAAUUCAUAUCUCUUCGCGAUUGCAUAAUUUGUUUCGAUAUAAUAUAUAUAUGUAAAUCAUUGAAAUGAUAGGAUUUUAAUCUUGGUGAGUUAUUUUUCUUUAUGUGAUUAAAUUGUUAUAUAUAUAUAUAUAUUUAGAUAAUUUACACUAUUACAAUAUCAAAAAUCGACUUAACACGAUACAAGAGUUUAGUAAAAGUGUAUUUAGUUGGUAAAUUUAUAAUUUUUAAGAAAUUAAAGAUAAUAUAGAUUAUUUAAUUAGAGUAAUCAAAAGUAGGUGAAGUUUGCAAAAAUACCCUUUAAGUCGAUUCCAAUUAUAUCAAAUUAUGAAAUUUAUAAUUAAAACAAUAAUUUAAGUUUUUAUUUUAUUAUUUUAAAUAGUUUCAAUUUUUUUUCACUUUUUAUAUUUACAACAUUGUAUUGAAUUAAAUUUAUUCACAUGGAUUAUAAAUUUAGAAGUUUAAUAUUACCAAAAGAAAAAAAAAAAAAGAUAUGGUAUAUAUUCGAGAAUUGUGUUUAGAUUUGUUUCACACUGAUUAAAUAUAAAAAUUUCUCCCUCAAUUAAUUUAGUGAGUCUGUGAAGUUUGUUUUUUAAAAUAUUUCAAAUUUUGGGUUAAAGCAUAAAGUUUGCUUAAAACGUUAAUUUUUAUAAAUUAACCUCAAAAGUGUGUAUCAAAUUAUAUUAAAUGUGUUACUUUUAGUCCUUAACUUAGUUUCUAAACUUUUCAAUUAAUUUUUGAGAUACAUUCUUCUAAACUUUAUUCUAAAAUUAUAAAAGUAUCUAAUAAAUUCUAAAAUUCCCAAUUUAACAUCCUAUAUAUCGUUAAUUUAAUUAAGAUAUGUUUAAUCUACUAUCUACUAAACAUAAAAUUGAAAAUUUUGUAUUUGUUGGACUCAAAUUUAAGUUUAAUCGUAUUUGUCUCGUAUAAAAGAUAUAUUUACAUUUGUACAGUCAUAUUGUAUCAAUAAGUAACCAAAAAGCUUCCGAACAUGUAAAACGCGAAAAAUUAUAAAAUGUGAGAAACAAAGACGCCGUCUGUGGGGAUCGAACCCACGACCACGUGGUUAAAAGCCACGCGCUCUACCACUGAGCUAAGACGGCCAGAUGAAAGAAAAGAGGAAAAAUUAUUAAUACAAUAAUAUGAUAUUGUUCAAUUUAGAUUUUUAAUAUUUAAUUUAAUAACUAUACUUUCUAAUUUAAAUAAAACAAUUGGAGCGUUGAAGUUCAUACCAAAAAUCUUGUGGUUACUAGGAAAUUCAUGUGCCCAUUAAGUCGUACUUGUUUUAGUACGAGAAGUUAAGUAUACCAUAAGAUAAGUCGUAUCUUAAAAUAUAGUAUCUACAAUUCAUGUAAAAUAUUGAAUAAACUGUUUGCAUUUAUAGGGUGUGAUCUAAAUUUAAAUUUGUUUAAUAAUUAUGUUUACAAGUGAUAAAACCAUGUUAAAAUAUGAAAUAAAACUAAUUCAUUAGAUUAAUCUUACAUGAUUGAUUAAAUAAUUAUAAGCUUAGUUGAAUAUGUUAAAAAGAUUGUUAGGUAACUUGGGUACACGUGUGAAAGAUGUCAUUUUAUAUUUUAUAUUACAAUAGAAGAGGAAAACAAUUGUUAAUUAAUGUACUUAAUUGUAUAUAUAUUUUUCUAUGAAAUAAUAUUUUAUAUGACUACUGAUUCAUCGAUUAAAAAUAUUAUGGAUUCAACAAAACAAUAUUUAUGGUCGUCUUGAUUUUGGUUAUACUAAUAUAGUUAGAAUUCAAUCACGUUGUUAAAGAGAAAUAAAGAUAUCCAUUUUUUUGGGUUAGGGGACCUCGAAUCUUUGGUUGGGCGGAAAAUAAAGUAGGAAACGAGGGAACAAAAUUGUUUGCAAGCCAAAGAGACCGUCGUUCAUCCAAUUUAUUGUCAAUAUUGUUAUUUUUUUAAAAAAUAUACAUAUAAAUACGUACAAUAACAACGAUUAAAUAAUUUUAGUUUCUUAUACUUUAAGGAUGAUAUUGUACGAAUAAUUUGAUAUGUUUGAAUAAUUUUUAAAUUAUUACGUAUGAACGAUUAAAUAAAUUUAAACUAUAAUAGGUUGACCUAGUGGUAAAAAGAGAGACAUAGUCUCAAUAACUAACUAAGAGGUCAUGAGUUCAAUCAUGAUGACCAUCUACUAUGAAUUAAUAUCAUACAACUUUAGUCCUACCCGAAAGCUAAAACAAUAAAUGAAACAAUAUAUUGAAGUCAUUUGCUAUCACGUAUAUAACUGUUUUUGUUUUUUAAGAACAAAAGACAUUGCUUCGAUGUAAUAUAAUCUGAAAAUGUUGAUAUAUGCUAUUCGAUUUAUGAAUAUUUAUAACAUAAUAUUUCAAAAACAUUUAAUUUAAUUGGUGUGGUUCGAUCUAAGAUUCAUUAUGUUAGAAUUUUCAUUACGUCUCAUAUUGUUAUAUAAUAUAUCUUUAGUUAUUACUAAUUUAUCUUAGAAAAAUAAACAUUCAAAUUUAUCAUUCAACUUUUACGUAGUCCUAAGCUCUAAAUUAAAAACAUAACACGAUUGUAAUUCAAUCGACGUAGGCUUAUACCUAUCAACCUCAUUUUCAAUUCCAUCGACCAUCUCUCAAGUAGUAAAAAAAGAGGGAAAAAAACAAAACCCUAAUUCAAAAAGAUGUAUGAAUAUGGUUAAUCCCAAACCCUAAUAUAGAAAAAAUGUCUCAAUGAGAAAAUUGGUAAAGUUUUUGACUAAUCCACGGGGAUUAAAUCGAAAUUAUGCUUAGGACCAAAUUUGUAAUUUCAAAACAUUAACAUUAUAUUACAAAGAAAUAAAAAGAAUUCUGAAGUUAGGGGUACGCUUUCUUCUUCUCCCUCUCUCAAUCGAUCAUUCUCUGCCCCCGGCGAGAACAGCCCAUACAUUUCCUUCUGCUACGCCUCCGGCAGAGCUCCUAGCUGCUUUCGGUGCCCGAUUUCUCUAGUUUUUUUUUUUUUUAGAUCCUAUCGAUUGUUCUUUCGAAAAUCAUGGUGAGAGGGUUGCUCAAUAAGCUUGUGUCUCGAUCUCUUUCUGUCGCCGGGAAAUGGCAGCACCAACAGCUGCGUCGUCUCAACAUCCAUGAGUAUCAGGUUAUUAUUAUUGUUUUUUUUUCUAAUAGUUUCUUUUACUAUGAGUGUAUUAUGGAUUUUAAUUUCUGGGUUUGUUUAGCCAUCAUAGUAGUUUGGUAAUUUGGCUGAUUUUUGAAGCAUUUGAUUUAAAAUCUGUGAAAGAAUUCUCAAUUUGCGUAUUUAUUUUGUUACGUUUACCGUGGAGAUCAGGGGGCUGAGCUGAUGAGCAAAUAUGGGAUCAAUGUGCCAAAGGGUCUUGCUGUUUCUUCUGUUGAUGAAGUAAAAAGCGCAAUGCAAGCUGCUUUUCCUGAUGCGAAAGAGGUAAGCAUGGGGUCUCACGUUUCUCUCUUCAUCCUCUUACGAGUCAUUUCUUUGGACGUCUACUAAUUAUAAAAUCAUGAAAAAUAAAAAUCAUUACAGUUAUAGUAUUGCCUCGCUUGACAUUUUUGUUUAGAAAUGCAAAAGAAGUUGGCUGUUGGUUAGCUAUUGCCACAUUAUAUAUGAGCAAACACUUAGCCAGUUUAUGAGAAGCAUUAUACAAAAUUUGAUCUCGUGCAGUUGGUCGUUAAAAGUCAAAUUUUGGCUGGUGGAAGAGGUUUGGGAACAUUCAAAAGCGGCUUAAAGGGUGGAGUUCACAUAGUGAAGGUGGACCAGGUUGAAGAGAUUGCUGGUAGGAUGCCCUUUUGUAUUUCAUUUUUGUUUUUCUAAAAGAUUCUUGGUAUCUUAUUAUCUGAAGAUUCUAGUUCGAUCUAAAAGUCCUAUCAGUGUCUUUCUUGUACAUAAUUGGUUACCACCGACAUUUAUAUUAUAUAUAAAUUUCCUGAUAUCUUAGAACUAGGACGUGGAAGAUUUCUUCAAGCCAAGUCGUCUACUGUAUUUUAUGAAAAUAACUAUUAUUUUUCAGUUUGAGUUUGCUUAAAUGUGGAGCUCACAACUUUAAUGGAGUAUUUCCUUCAUCUCUCCUCUUUUUUUCCUAUUUCGUGUGUAGGAAAGAUGCUUGGGCAGAUACUUGUCACUAAACAAACUGGUCCACAGGGUAAAGUUGUCAGUAAGGUAAAGUUGUCUUUUCACUGAUCAAUCCCUCAAGUUCCUUGUGAAUAUGUUGAACCUAAUUAGCUAUUAACUUUUCUUUUGGACUCAAACCUGCACUAUUGAGUGAAAUUAUUAGAUCAAGAGGUUGACUGUGCACAUAUCUUCUCAACUAAUGUCUAGUAGUCCAGCUCACGAUGGUUGUUUUCUGAGUUCUAUUAGUAAUAUCUGUUCAACCAUCUGCCUAAGGGUGGCAAGUGGUGCCAUGUUUCGGUUGGGUAUCAAAACUCCGCCAAAGACAUUUCUAAAAAUGGCUUAGAACAUGAAUACUACCUAUACCUAUUACCUAGUCCAAUUAAUGCAGUGGAUUAGUUAGCUUAGGGCUCUCGUCAUUUAGUUCAACUAUGCAUAUGAUAUAGAUAAAAAGCGAUGUGUAUUAUAGAUACAAAUGGCAAAACGUCCCAAGGCCAUGCAUUGAAUUGAAAACAUCUUUGCUGGAAACACUACUUAAUAAGGUCUUUCUUACUACUUGUUACAUAGUUGGCAUGAAACCAUCACAUCUUCUAGGAUAAGGCUACUGUUUUCAAUGACAUUUUAACACUUAACUUAUAUAGCUCUUUCAUGGUGUAAAAUUUUCCCUCUUUAGUUCCUACAACCUCACUUCUCUUAUUGUUCAAUGGAAGAGUUUUUUUCUUCUUGGGAUUUCAUCUUAUCAAUGAAAUGAAGGAAUUGAUGGUUUCUGUAAUUCAAUAGUUUGCAAGUAUAAACACUCAAGAGCUGUUAAGUUCUGCACUGAUAGUAUAGUGAGGGUGAAAGCUCUUGUGUCCAAGAUAAAAAUUGUAUAUCUUGGAGGGCACUGAUGAUACAAGGAUUGAUAAAGGAUCCACUCACAAAUUAGUUUCCAAUUAUGAUGUGUUGCAGUGUGUUAAAUUUUUUGUAUAUCUUCUAGUAACAAUCUGUUAUUCUCUAUUAAGAACCAUAGUCUUGUCUUUCUUCCUGCUCCUUAUCUUGUUUGUGUCUGCUGUAUGGUUUGUUCAACACCUGACACUAGGAUCUGAAUACUUUUCAUGACUGACUUAAUUUUCUUUGUUUCCUUUUUAUAAAUUAAUGCAGGUUUAUCUAUGUGAGAAGUUGUCACUUACCAAUGAAAUGUACUUUGCUAUCACAUUGGAUCGUAAAACUGCUGGUCCAGUAUGUUCCAUUACCAUGUUUGCCUAAUUCAUUUCUUUUUGCAGUGAUUUUUCUGCCUUUUUAUUUAGCUUUUCAAAUUUGGUGUUCCUAGGGAGGAUUUCGAUUGUGAAAUAAAACAAAUUUUAACUUGCUUUAUUUUCAGCUUAUAAUUGCCUGUAGAAAGGGUGGAACUAGCAUUGAAGAUCUUGCUGAGAACUUCCCAGAUAUGAUUAUAAAGGUUGUUAUUUUGUCUUUGCUUGUUUGGUAGUGUUGCCAAGUGAAAGCGACCUUUUCUUCUUUUGACAUUUGUUCAUCUUAAUAUUUCCUCACUCAACCAUUGUUUUCUUCUCUGGAAGGUACCUAUUGAUGUUUUCCAAGGAAUUACGGAUGAAGAUGCUGCAAAAGUUGUGGAUGGUUUGGCUCCCAAGGGUGCUGACAGACAGGAUUCAAUCGAACAAGUGAAAAAAUUGUAUAAACUCUUCUGCGAAUGUGACUGCACGUUACUGGAAGUAAGCACAGCUUAAUUGACUUGACUUUUUGAAAUUUACAUAUUAGCUUGAAUUGCUCCACUCCCUAGAGUGUUUGGUCCCGACUAUCUGUUUGAUUGCAGGUAAAUCCCAUGGCAGAGACUUCAGAUAAUCAGCUGGUGGCAGCUGAUGCUAAGCUAAACUUUGAUGAUAAUGCUGCAUUUCGUCAAAAAGCAAUAUUUGCUCUCCGCGAUCCAACUCAAGAGGAUCCUCGAGAGGUCUGGUUUUCUUUCUUUAUGUGGAAGAGAAUACUUUCUUGCUUCUAUUGAGAUAUUGGUAUGAAAAUAAAAUCCUACUGUUCUUUUUUUUUUUUGUGAAAAAUACACCAACUUAUAGAGGUUACUCCCCAAACAUUAUAAAGUGAAAAUUUAAUCCAACCGAUGUUGAUUAUUCGGGUAAAAACAAUUUCUUAUUUACUCUAAAGGAAUCCUCAUUUGCUCCUACCUUCAGCCCUGGAUAUUUGUGAACUCUUUUCUUUUUAUUAUGCAUUCGAUGUCUUCAACCUGAAACCUAGUUUCAAAUCAUUUGUAAUUAUUUGUUAGAAUUUCAUCUUUAUUAUAGCCCUUACCUUGACCUCAAUUCUUAAAAGAUAUCAUGUAAUUUUAUUGUGUAUUCCACAUCUUGUAGAAAUGGGAACAAAUCAUAGUAGCUAGAUAUCUAGGAUUUAAUAUUCUACAAAUUUUAUUGACUACCAAUUAUUGUGGUUGUCUCAUAAGAUUAGCCAAAGUUAGCUUGUUUGGACACUUACAAAUUUUAAAAAUAAAAAAGUUUUCCUAGAGGCAUGUCCUUUUAUUCUUAAAAUAAGCAGAAAAAGCACCAACUUUUCCUACUCUCUACCUAAACGUUUGGAAGUUCAAAAGUAGUUGAAGUCUUCAUACCUCUCUGUCCCUAUUUACCCCUAACUCUUCUCUUUUGGAAUGUUGCAUUUUUUCUCAUUUCACUUUCAUCGUCUCCCUUCAUUCAUCAUUCUUCUACGAGGAUGGGUUCAAGUUUGUAUGUGAAUACUAUGAAGCAUAACAACUUUGAAAUAAUAUGCCUCUUUGAUUUUCAUUAUUCUUUUGAAUAGGUUGAUGCAGCCAAAGCAGAUCUAAAUUACAUUGGCUUAGAUGGAGAAAUUGGAUGCAUGGUUAAUGGUGCAGGAUUAGCAAUGGCUACGAUGGAUAUAAUUAAGCUGCAUGGGGGAACUCCUGCCAAUUUCCUGGAUGUUGGUGGAAAUGCUUCUGAAGGGCAGGUAAAAGAUUCAAGCAAUCGAUCUCUUCUGAAUCCCUCUACUUCAUUCUCGCCCUUUCAGAAUUUUAUGACAGAGGGUGGUGUCAAUUUUGAUUAAACAUAAUUUUAAUUUCCUUUGUGUGAAAUAUACUUUUUUGAUAUUUAACUUUCAAACCAUGUGUGCAUGUGUGGAAUGUGCGGAAAUCUCAAAACUUUGUCGCUAUAUACAGUUCAUUCAUUUUUUACACAAUGGUCAUUAUUGUCCGAGUUAAUAACUAAACUGUGUAAAGCAGGUAGUUGAGGCAUUUAAGAUAUUGACUUCUGACGAGAAAGUUAAAGCAAUUUUGGUGAACAUUUUUGGUGGAAUAAUGAAAUGUGAUGUCAUAGCUAGUGGAAUUGUCAACGCUGCCAAACAGGUAAAAUUUACAUAUUUCUGGUUUCCAUCCUCAGUAUGUCAUAGACUGCUUUCCUUGGUGUUUUUGGUAUUUCAGCUAUCAAAUACACACUUUCACUGCUAUCCUCUUUAAUCAAGCAGCUUCAAAUAUAUAUAUCCCGAUUCUACAUUUACAUUUCAUCCAUGCUAAACAGUUAAGAAAACUUUUUUGAUAGACACAACUUGAGAAAAAAAUGAAAUAAUACAAGGGCAUACAAAAGAACAUGUCUAACAAAAAAGAGCCCCUCUAAAGGAAGGGGAUCCAAUUAAGGGUAAUGUUUCCUAGCGAGUAGUUACAAAAAAGCCUCGAAAUUGAAGCCCAAAAAGAAACGCAUGAAAUCUCACUAAAAUAUCACCAGGUUUCCCUAUCCUUCCCUCUAAAAACUCCCCCCAAAUAUCCCACAUAAUUGCAUACAGCUCAGCAAGCCAUAAAAAGCGGCCUCUCUCUCAAAGGCAGAUGGAGGAACUCCUCAAUCAUUGCACACACAGCUCUUUAACCAUUAAUGCUGACGUUGAACUUUUGCAAGAAUAAGCUCCACACAGAUCUCACAUACUGGCAACCUCACAAGAGAUGGAUCAGGUCUUCCUCCGCCUUCCAGCACAAAAUGCAGCAAAAAGGCCUCACAAGCUAUGUUUUCCUCCUAGCAAGUCUAUCUAAAGUGUUUACACAACCAAGCAAGACUUGCAAAAUAAAAAACCUAACUUUUCUUGGGGAUCUUAAUCCUCCAAAUGGUAUAAAAAGCAGACUCCCCAAUGGGAGAGGGAUCUAAAAGCAAUCUGAAGAAGGAUUUAUAAGAAAACCUCUCCCUCGGAUUUGGACUCCAAAGACAAACAUUCCUUCUCCCUUCCCCAAAAGAGCACCCAUCAGUAAGGAAAGCAGAGAGACAACCUCCACUGUUUCCCUAUUGGACAAAUUACGACGAAACCCAAAGAAAAAAGACAGACUUCUCUGAUCAAAUCAAGAAGUUAGAAGUUGGGCAAUUUUUAAGGGAAGGAAGGUGAUAAAAGACGAGAAAAGACAGAAAAAAGAGCACAUUCCCCACCCACCGAUCCUCCCAAAAAAACGUGUCUUGUCCAUUCCCCACGACACACUUCCCAAAAAGAGAAAAGGUAGGUAGAAAGCUCAAACGAGAAUGAUAGAAUGGGUCAGUGUAGAGCUCAAUGGGGAUGGAUUCUCUGCUUCCUUUAUAAUUCUGGGCUUUUUAUACUUGUCACCAUAUUAAUGCAAUGUUCACUUUCUUUUAAACAAAAACAUUGCCGGAAGAAUUUGAACAUUUGCAUAAUUUCAAUCCUCAAUAAACGCAGAUGGAUUCAAACAAAACUUUGGUAUUCACCUUUUUAGUCCUUAAAAGUCUUAAGUAAACUUGCACAUGUACUUGAAAACUACUGCCUUCUGUUUGUUAAGCAAGAUACAUGGUUAUGAUUAUGUUAUUCUAAGAUUGGAUAUGACCUUUGUGUUUAAGGUUGCUCUCAAAGUGCCCGUGAUUGUUCGGCUUGAAGGUACAAACGUUGACCAAGGAAAAAGAAUUCUGAAGGUAAAUCUUCAAAAUCGUCGGCGUUAUUCCUUUUUUUCCCCAAUAACAAAAGGUUCUGCUCUUUUUUAUACGCUUACUGAGAUGAGUAACCAAAUUCUAUGUGAUUGCUGAUGGCUCCAUAGGAAAGUGGAAUGACAUUGAUAACAGCAGAAGAUCUGGAUGAUGCUGCAGAGAAAGCAGUUAAAGCAGCGUAUUGAGUUACUUUCAAUUCUUUUUCCAUGGGAUAGCUUGUUUCCUUGUGAUUGUUAUUUUUUGUUGGAUCAAUGCGAUUUUGAUCGCACCUUUCCUGAAAAUUUGAGGAAACAUUGUUUGCCGCAAGACGAAAGCGCACACACCAUCAAUUAUUCGAUGAAAACAUAGUUGAAAAAUUUAAUAACGAGUAGCUUUUUUGCUGAGGUUAUGGGUGGCUGUUGUCCGUGCCCCUUUUUAAUUUGAUAACUCAAGUUAGAGAGAUGGAAUUUGUAAUCUACCAGAUUUUCUAAUGCCAUUAUAAGUCAUGUUUCUUUAAUCUCCCAGGUAACCAUUUGGUUGGUGAUAAUGAUCAAGUGGGUCUUCAAGAUAAAAUGGCACUCUCAUGUCAUUAUAUAUAUCUAUGAAUAACAUAUUUCUAAUGCCUUGCCUUAUUUUUCCAUUGCAAAUCUUUGAGUGCGAUCAAUUUCAACUAAGCCUUGCCUUCACCUCAAUUUAAAUAAGAAAUCAAGCAAAUAUUAUUUCUCUAGGCAUGGAUUGGAAAUAAGGGAAAUUGUUUUAAAUUAUAAAACUUCUAAAAGGUAUAUACGAAUAUAGUAAAAUGUUACUAUCUAUCUAAUAAUAGAUUAUGAGAGACUAAGAUAUAUUAUUCUCUAUAUGGAAAUAUGUAGUAGUAAGUUAAGAUUAGUAGAUAUUUUAUUAUAUUAGCUAAACAUUUUAGCAAUUAGUUUCAAGCAAUAAAUUUGAAAAAGUUAUAAGGAAUCAUAUUAAAAGGUUUUCUUCCCAUUUAAACCUUUCAUAGUUAAACCACCACAACCGAAUAUCAAUAGUUUUUUUUUCUAGAAAAAGAAAAUUAAAGAUAUUUUAUAUGUUCACUUAUUUUCAGAAGAAAAACAAUUAAUGUGAUUUAUCCAUGGAAAAUUGCCAUAAAUAACCAAAAACAGAACUUUUUAUAAAAGACAGACAUGCUUUCUGACUAGUGGUUUCAUAAAACCAUUUUUAGGAGUGGAACUCCAUUUUUGAGCUUGGAUUACAAAAACAUCAAAUACCUACAAAACUUCCUCCAUUGCCAAAUUGUUUAAGCACAUUCAUUGUCUAAACCCUCUCAAUUUUAUUUUCAUUACUUGAUAGUGUACUCCAAUGCUCAAAAUUGUCAUGCCACUGAUUCAACCUGUGAACAUCCCCUUUUAAACUUCAAACAAUUAACUAAAUAUCAAACUCGGACUUUAGAAACCAGAAGUGUAUUUCGCUUUUUCUAAAUCAGCAACUGAAGCUUCUGUUCAUAAUCAUCCCAAGGAGUGAUUGCUCCAUCCAUAACCACCCCCUCAGCACAUGUUACUGUAGUUAGUUUUUUGGAUGCAGUCACUUUUCUCUAACAAUUGAAUUCAGGAAAAGAAAAUAGAGCAAACAAUGAACAUACGAAAUAAAGCAAAAGGUUUGCUUGGAUUCUAACAGGACUCCUCAAAGAUUAUUGAAUAAAUUUCAUCAGCUAGUUGUAUAGAUAUGAUACUCUAAAGUUCAACCAGAAACAACAAAUUAUGAGAAGACGUGGGAUGGAAUGAAAUUAAUAAUUCAUUAAUCUCUUAUAAACAUAUCGUGAAGUUGUUUGAUUUUCUCAAGGUAGGACCCUCUCAACGUACUCCCUCAAAAUGGUGUCUAUUUUGGUUAUGUCAUUCUUGGAUUGAAUCUCAAUUUAUGUUGAGAUUUAUUUCGAAUACCAUAUGAUAUAAUUUCUCAAAUAAUCAGAGAGUUCUCUUAUUGAUAUAAUCUUAGAAAUGAGUCUAUUGGCAAGAUACAAAGACUAACAAUAAAACUGAACUUCAAUACAAUAUUUAAAACUUUUAAAAGUAACUAAUUAGUUUAUUUAAUUGGGUAUAUAUGGUGAAAUACUAUACCAUGGUUAUAAAUUCUCAACACUGUCGCAAAAAGAAAUAUGAACUUACCAUUGGAAAGUUGUGUGAAGAAGAGGAGGAUUAAGAGCUGAGAUCAGUCAUAAGAAAGUGCAUUUGUUCUCUCAAGUGCAGAACCUGUUAUGAAUCCGGUAGACAUAUUAGGAAUAAGGAAAACUCUCCGAUGUAGUUUUUCAAGGGGGGAGGGUGCAAGCCAAAUAAGAAAGAAAACAAAGCUGGAUUACCUCAUCCUGAAGCAAAGCCGGAAGGUAGUUUUCUCCAACAAGCCUAUUAAUGUCGGCCAACAACUUCUCAUCUUUAAGGUUGAACCAAAUAUGUUGGGGCAGUGAUAGCAACAAUAUGGUAAGAACAUCAAUAACAGAUGGCCAUUGACAACAACACUCAUCUGAAAUAUGACUUGAUUCUGUUUUACAUAAAGGUACCAACAUAUCUACUCCUUCUUUGAUAGCAUUAGUAACAACAGUCCCUGACAUCACCACUGCUGACUUCUCAUUUUCAGCAUUCAAAAGAUGGAUAUCGGUUUUGGACAAACGUUGAUCAGCUGAGCAAGAUUUUGCAGCUAAAGUUUCUGCCCCUUGACAACAAACCGUUGCAGCAAUUUCGGAUAAUUCAUCUUUGUUAAACAAAGAUUCGGAGCCUUCACAUAGAGUCCCAGAUGCCAACCACUGUUUGAUAUGUUUGAAGAGUUCAGUCGCUCGUAGUUGUUCCAAUAUCUCCUCCUGAGAUCCCACACUUUUAAGUUUCAGAAAAAAAAAAAAACAUUUAAGGGUAUGUGCAAAAAGGGAAAACAGGAAAAAUAAUAGAAAGAAAUUCAAGAGAACCUUGACAGCCAGUCUUCCUUUCUCCUCUGCAUUUAGUUUUACAUUCCCAUCCUCUUGCUCCCGAACUUCUGCAACCCAUUUGAUAAAGUUCUUGAGAUUUUGAGGUGGCAAUUUAAAUACUUCAGAAAGUAAUUCCUCUACACUUUUCACAUUUUCAGUUUUCAGAAGUAAAGGAACUUCUUCUGUUAAGUAUUUUAUAGUAUCAUUCCAACCGUCAUCUUGACAACUCUGCACAAAACAAAUUUACAACCAUUGAUCAAUACUAAUUCUUAAUCUAUAUGCAGAAGAAAAGAUCUAAAAGCAGAUGCUACCUUAAUUCUUUUAAUCAUGGCUAGUCUUCUUAAAAGUUAUUCCAACGAACUAUUUUAUUUUUUGGUUUGAAAAACUGCAAAUGAUUCACUAGUUUUAAAUUUUACCAUUUCUUAAGGAAUUAUACAUAUCAAACUAAUAGAAUAAGAAUAAGAUGUACCAGAGUGUAAAGAAUAGACGGUCCCCUAGUUAGCUUUGAUAAAAUCAUGUAUCUGCGUUAAAGAAAGAAAUAAGAAUAUGAUCUGCAUCAGCAUAUAAAUAAACAGUCAAAAUAAGAAUAGAAAUUUACCCUCUAGUUAGUCCUGUUGCACCAUCAAUUGUGUUCAUGGCAUCCCACAAUAGGGUAAGUGGAACCCAGUGAGGAGGAUACUUAAAACGUGCAACAUCCAAGAUGAGAACCAUGUCUUUUCCAGCAUGAUAACCCCCAAUUGGUGAGAAAUGACCAGUUCCAGUCUGAAGCCAAUCAUUAUCAUUAUGUUAAAGACAAACCUCAAAUUAACUUCUAUGACAAGUGAUCAAACAAGCUACAUCCUCCUCUGAUUGGCAACAGUUGUUUCUCAUGCACUUAUUCACAGGCAACGCUCCAGCCAGAGCCUAAUCUUUGAUAACAUUUUAUCUAAAGAAAUAUAUAUGUUUUUUUCAGGUACUUUUUGUUUAUUGGUUCAAAUUUACAAUAAAAUACACCUUUUUCAGUUACUACAACUAAUUUUGAAGACAUAUAGUAAGACCAUGACGAAGGUACAUACUUGAUAUAUAUACCUGCUUAAAAACUCCUCUAUGGUAGGAAGUGAUCACAUGACAGUCUUCAGAAGAUGAACAUGAUAUAACGUGCUUACGAAAAUCAUCAAUUGUGCUUUCAUUUGUCCUAAAAGCUAGCACUUUAGCACCAUUGCACCGAGCCAAGCACGCAACCUUACCAAAUGUGAUUCCAUCCGUUUUGAUCUUUGCCAAAGGUUCACAGCAGUCAAGCAUAGUGUCAUCAAACCAUCUCCAUGGUCCUGAAGAAAAUAAAAACUGACACUAUGUUGUUAUGAAGGUACAUUUAAACAACAAAUGGUACUGCUAGUUUGAUCACCUACUUCUUUUUGUUUCUUUUCUCUUUUCUUGUGUUCAAAUACUAGUUAGGAAUAUUGCAGGAAAGAACACUGCUGAACUUAGUUUACAGUUCCUAUAGUGUGAGCAGUGAAGGUUUGGAGACUACAUGGCCACACCUUUUAAUUUUGAUUAAAAAAGAAUAUAAAUGGGCUAAAUGUUAACUCUUAUCAGAACUAAGAGCACUUUGACUGACUUUAAUAGUAAGUUAGCAACAUGAAGUUGAGUUUGACAGUGAACACUUUUUGUAUAUCCAAUAGCUAGUGAAGUACCAAUAGGCACCAGAUUCUCCAAUUUGGAACUGAAAUCACCAAGACUCGAUAGGUAAUGUUCUCCAAACUGAAAAAAGUGGUCAAUGAAAUACUUCCCGCAUAGUAUUGAAAUGACCGAAAGGAAACUCAAAGCCCUGAUAGAUAUAUGCUUACAAGAUACUGAAACAAAAAUACAUUUUUGCAUGAAGACUACAAGGGAAAUGGGAUUGCAACUCAAAUCACACAUAGAAGAACCAAAGGUAGAUUGGCUAUCAAUUACUAAGGAAAAAGUAGGGAAUUUUCAACUUACCUUUCCAUUUUCUACCGGGAUCAAUAGAAAGAGCAUUGAGAACAACAGCAAGAGUUGCUAGUCCACAAUAAGCCGGUUCUGAUUGGGUUUGAUAGUAAGAAAUCAAUCUAAAAAACCCUUCCAUAGUUCCAUCUCCAAGGGCCUCAGUAAACAAAAGCUGCAAGAUUCACAGCUAAAGUUAGUAAAAAUAAUCAGAAAGAUUGAGAAACUGAGAAAGAAGAUUUGGGGUAUUGAAUUGAAGGAACCUUUCCCUCGGAAGAAGCAAAAUCAACAGCGGGAGGAGAAGGAAGAACUCUGCGAUAAAAUCCAGCAACCGCCAUUAGAGGAAAGAAGGAUUGUCAAGAUUCGAUAUUUGAAGGACCCCAAUGAAUGUGAGGAGAAAAUGGAAGGGAAAUUCUUGAGAAUUUUGAAUAUUUUUCAUGGAAGUCUCCUCCAUGUUUUUUUCGGGCACAGUGGAAAGUUCAGCAUUGAUGCAAAGAUGAGAUUUUUAUAUUCUUUCUAAAUCAAAAUUAAAAGGGCGCCCAUGGAUGGCCCACCCUUUUAAUAUAAGUAAAUUUUAAUAAAUGGUCUAAAUUGAUUUAUUUAUAGUAACUCUAAAGUUUGAUUCAAAUAUUAGGAGUUGAAGUUAAAUCUUAAGAUUAAUAUAAUUAUUAACCUAGAGCAUUACAUGUAGGUCUAUAAAAAAUCAACUUUUAAGAUCUAUAACAUAAAACAUGUUUAUUAUAAUUAAUAAUAAAUAUGAUUCUAACCGUUACUAAGAAAGAUAUUCCGAUGUAUCUACACACUUACUAUAUUCGUGGUUUAUAACUAUAUUAUCAAAUAGUAUUUGAACAAUGGUUUAAUUAAGAUCAAGUUUCUAAAUCUACUAACAAAUGCAACAACACUGAUGAAUUUUUAUUGAAUCUCUGGUUUUUAGAUCACUAACCAACUCAUACCCUUAAUCCCUAAACUUAUUUGUAAUGUAGGCACAGACUCACACCAACCUCAAUCUCAAUGAAAACUAGUUUACUUUUUCCCUUCUACAACAAAUGGGGUAUAAAAAUUUGAACCUGACUUCACUUUGGUAAACUAAUUUACUUUAUACACAAGAAAAAUAUUCUACAAAAAAAGAAUUAUUAAUAUCUGCCAAGCUUCAUGGCCAAAAUUGGACACCUAUAUGACAGAGUAGUUCACUUGAACCAACACACCAAAAUCUUGUGCAAUAUUUAGGCAUUGCCUGCCAACUCAUGGAACAUAUCAUAAACCGUUGGUCACUUCAGUCUUCGACUAUAAUUGUUUCAAGGUUGUCGUAUCUUGAUAAACAUUUCGAUAUGGUGCCUGCUAUAAAUGAAUUCAACUCUCCAGAAUAAUGUUUUGUAGACCGUGUCUGCAAAUACAUUAAGAUGAAGGAAGUGCACUAAGAUCCAGAUCGACCUUGUCCUCGUGAUAUUUUUGAAGAAGACGGAGUUGUUUCCGCAAGUGCAACACCUGCCCACGAUAAAUUCCAAAACUGAAAUAUUUGGACUUUUCCUUUAAAGGUUUAACAAGCAUAAUAAUGGCAAAAAAGUUAUAGCCUAUAGCAUAAAUUGUAUAUGAUAACUAAGUUUGAAGAUGUCUUCCACAGUCAGUUUUGUUAUUGACUUAUUGAAUUUUAGUCUUCGAAGUUCCUAAGUCAACACAUUAGUAAGUUGUUGUGUGUGUGUGCGCGCUGUUUAAAGACCAACUAGCAUCAAGUACCACACGUUGUAGCAGAGUAAGGAAGCUUGGCGAGAGGAUAAAAUGGCCCUAGCUUGCAAAGAACAAAGAGAAUAGAUAGAGGAAAGUAGUUACCUCAUCUUGAAGCAAGGUGGGAAGAGUUUCCGUGCAAACAAGUUUUUGUAGUUCCCGCAAAACCUUCUCUUCUUUUAUACCAAUCCAGGUUUUGGCAGGCAAGGCAAGAAGAAGUGUUGUUAACACAUCACUGGCUGCUGGAUGACUCCCUAUUUCAUUUUUCAUGCCAGAAAAACAGCAUCCAGAUCUUACAUGUGAUGAUGAUGGGACCAACAUGUCAAACUCCUGUUCAUUGUUGCCACUGACAACCAUUCCGCAUACAACUGUAACAGGCUUGUCGCCAUUAGCACCUAAGCAUCUCACACAUGUUUCACGACAGCAAUAACCAGCUGAGACGCCUGUAUUCCCAUUCAAUAUUUCUGCUCCUUGGCAACAUACACUCGCAGCAAUCUCAGGCAAAUUGUUCUCAUGAGAUGGUGUAAGCAUCUUGCAACAUGAAUCUUCUCGAGAAAGAAACUCUCCUACCUGUUUGAAAAGGUCCGUCUCCUGUACCUGUUUCAACACUUCUUCCUGCAAGCAAAAUGCCAGACAACCAUUACUAUUAACUAAAAACAUAGAUAGAUAUAUCAUUGUUUUAGUAAGAAAGGAUGGGACAAGUAUAUGACCUACACCUUCAGAGCAAGUCUUGCUUUCUCCUCUGAGCUUAAACUUUGACCACUAUCCUCUGUCCUUCGGACCUCAGCAACCCACUUGAUAAAAUCACUAUAAUUUAAGGGCAGUGAUGCUAAAAUAACAGUUAAAACAUCCUGUGUGUCUUUAAGGUCCUUUGACUUCAAGAGAAGAGGAACGUCAUCCAUUAAGUACUUUGCUAUGUUAACCCAGUCCUCAUGUUUACAGCUCUACAAGAAGUUCCCGAGUACAAUUAUAGUUGGGAGAAAUAACCUUACAAUGCAUUGGUUAGUAGUUUGUCUCAGCAUGCAUCUAACUGGGACUAAUGAUUGAUCUUGGUUUAUCCAGAUCAACAUUAAACUGAAACAAACUAAUUCAAUAGCUUUAACAAAGUAAAGUCAAAUGACAUAUAAGCUCUAUUUGUGAGCCUCUGCGUGUAGCAGAGCCAAUAAUCUUAAUUUAACACAUUGAAGAUAGAAAAACGAAGGGAGAAAGUUGGUUCCAUUAAUCCAUUUACAAAGCAAAAUAGCCAACUAUUGUAAUAAAUUGUACAAAGUGAGGCACAAGGGCAGAGUUCCUUGACAGGGGCUCCAUUUCAAGGGUGAAGCAGUGAAAUAAUAAAGCAACGGCAAACAGAAGCCUACCCAUUAACCAAAAAGGUCUUACAGAAACAAUCUGAGGCUACUAUCCACUUAAUCCACUUCAGACACUGGCAAUGAUAUUUACCUCUUAGGCUCUUGCAAUUAUAGCAUGCGUACAAAUCAUAGAAAAAUACUCUAUUGGGAAAAAACAAGAAUCCAUGUACCUAACCAAUAAAGAUUUAUGGUUUAUCCUAUAACACCUUGUUGCCAAUUAGUAAUUGCUAAUUUUAAUACCAAUAUUGCCUCAGGCAAGGAUGGCAUAGGGAAUAAGACUUCUUCUGGCCUCUUAAUGUUGUCAAUGUGCUUGUGACUAAAUAAUUUGAAAGACAUGCACCCUCAUAAUAUAAAGAUGUCAUGGAAAGGAUUAAAAUUGUAAUCUCACCAGAGUAUAGAGCAAUCCUGGCUCCCUGUGCGGCCUGGAUAUAAGCAUGAACCUGAUGAGCAAAGGAAAACAAGGGUUUACAGGUGAAGGCCUAUUAUUUGCUGGUACAAGCACAAUGAAGAAAAUAAUAGACUAGAUGCAAUCUUAUCAACAAAUAGGAACAAACUUUGUGAGUGUUUGGAGUACAUUCUCAAAUGUUUAAUUUAUUAAAUAAGUCACUUUGGAAAAACUUAGAGUGUUCGAUAACCACUUAAAAUAGCUUUUGAAGUGUAUUUUAAACAUUUCUUAUAUAAAAAAAAAGUUUAAAUAAAAAUGAGCUUUUUCUUAGAUAUUUUUCUCUCAAGUGAAUACAAACAGACCCAUAACCAAGAAAAUCCACCAAUUGCUAAUUUCAUUACUUAGAUAUGCCUCAAGAACUCUACUUUGUUGAACUCGGAAUGCACCACCAAAGAGAAAAGAGAAAAGAGAAAAGUGAACCGACGAAAGAAGUCAAACCAAAAAUCAACAAUACGUUCAAUGUAGCACAUCAUUAUAUUCCUCCACCAAUGAAUUCAAGAAAGCUUAUGUUCUUUUAUAUUCUGUUAUUUUAGAUUAGUAGGAAUGGAUAAUGCAGGUCAACCAAUGGUGUACAACAAUUAAGAUUAUAUGUUCUUCUAUAUGUCCAUAACUGUGUCACCAUUAGAUACAAACAUUUCACUCAAGGACAAAACCAUUACCCUCUAUGCUGUCCUGUUGCUUCAUCAACGUGCUCCAUAGCUUUCCAAAGAAGUUCGAUCGGAACCCAAUGAGGAGGAUACUUAAAGCGUGCAACAUCCAAGAUAAGUGCCAUGUCUUGCCCAACAUGAUACCCACCAAUAGGCGAAAAAUGACCAGUUCCUGUCUACACGACACGACAAGAACAAAGGUUUAUAGACUCUUUAAACCAAUAAAAUUCUUUGCAUUGAGAGUUAGGAGUAUGUUGUCAAAUUGAGGAUAUUCACAUUAAAGGUCUCAUAGAGAUAAUCACCAUAAAUUUAAAAUCCAACAAAACUUCAAUAUCAAGUCAAGAAAAAUCAAAAUAUAUAUUAUAUCUUUUGUUUAUAGGAGCCGUCUGUAUAUUAUAGCACCACAGGAAAGGGGGAAAAAAGAAUAAAUUGUUAUAAGCCUUAAUGAUUCUUCACAUUCAGUCAUGAAAAUUGAAGGUAAAUAAUUUAUAUAAAAUCUUUCUAGAAACAUGGGAUGUUGAAGGAAGGUAGGGCUUCAAAUUCAUGAUGAGACUUAAGGCCCUCAAACCCAAGCUGAAAAGGUGAAAUAGGAGAGUUUGUCAAGAUUCAGAAUCCAAAUGCGAGAAAAAUUCUAGGAUUAAAGCCUGGAUAAAUGAGAGCCCAAGAUAAUUUUAAGUGAGGUGUGCGACUUGGGAAGGAGCAAAAUCAAUUUCAAAGUUGAUGUAGUGAGUGUUUACUUAGUUUUUGGUUAAAUUCUGUUUUAGUUUUUAAAUACCUAGUUUGUUUGUUGUAACAUUCUAAACAAUAUAAAAAGACUCAAAAGUAUUAACAUAAGUUAUUGGAAUAUAUUACCCACCGUGAUGAUCAAACAUAUCUCUUUGAUCAUUAUUGUGCAUUGACAAAGCACCUUCGCCAAUGAAAUAAGUGAGAGGUUCCUGAAAAUAAAAUAUUAAAUAUAUCUCUACGCUCACCUGUUUAAAUGCUGCUCUAUGAUAAGAUGAAAUGAUGUGGCAAUCAUCAGAAGUGGAGCAUCUUCGUACGUAUUUGCGAAAAUCAUCAAUGGUAAUUUCAUUUGUUUGGAAGGCUUGGACUUUUGCUCCAGCACAAUUAGCCAAACACACAAGUUUUCCCAACGAGAUACCUCUAGCUUUGACCUUUUCCAAUGGUUCACAACAAUCCAACAUAGACUCAUCGAACCAUCUCCAAGGCCCUUUUACAAAAAGAGAAAGUAUAUACUUUUACUGACUACGCUCAAAUCAAUAUAGUGAACAGCAUGAAAAUAAAAGGAUGGUCAUAAAGUGUCAAUAAAUAAAAGCUAAGAAUUUGGGAGAGUAGUUAAACUUAGCUAAGCCCAAGGAUUUGUUCUUCUAAGUCAUUACUAUUAAUUAGGAAUUGGGAUGCCUUUCUACUUUUUUUUUCUCAACAAGAAACAAAACUUUUUAUUAAAGACUUAAAAGCUAAAGAGAUUAGACAUGGAAAAAAAAGCAUAAAUGAGAAGGCAUAAGAAAUAAAACAAAACAACCGGUUAUGUUAAACAAACAAAACUAAAGUUACUGUCCAGCAACUAAACCAGCAAACAAGACAUAUCGGAAGAGUUUUAUAUUCUCGACCAACUACCGUUGAAAAAUUUUGGUAGUACAUACUCAUUUCAUUCACAAUUUGAUGUACCAUAGGUGAUAUAUUAUUUUAUUUUAUGGAGCCACAGUAUUCUUACAGAACUUCUAUUAUGGCAAAUAAUGGAUGGUGGUAGGACAGAAAAGUUUUCGUGCAACUGUAGUACUAGAAAUUUCCCUCAUAUCUGAGUAUCUCUAUGGUCUACCACAUCAGCAUGAGAUCAAUGCUAAUGGUAAUACUUCAUUGCAAUAUCAAACUUGAUUUAUCAUUUGUUUUGUUUUCAUUCACCAAAGACCAUAACAGGCUCAACCCAUCAUUUUCAUAUACCAAUACUUCUUAAGAGGUUCUAUCAAAAUAGAUUCUAUUCCGCCUAUACUUGAAAAUAUUCCAUCAAUGAAACAACUAAGUUCGCUUAAUAGAUUACAUUUAAAUGGACAUCUAAAACCAUAAAAUGAAUGGGGAAAACUUCUGAGUUUGAUAGUACCUUUCCAUUUUCUUCCUGGAUCAAUGGCAAGGGCAUUCAAUACCAUUGAUAGGCUAGCCAGACCACAAUAGGCAGGCUCUGAUUGUGUUUGAAAAUUAGAGACUAGCCUAUAAAAACCCUCCAUAGUCCCAUGUUGAACAGCUUCUACGAAGAGUUGCUGCAGUUCCAAAAAGAUGCAUACAAUUAGUACUGGAAUUUUUCCCCCUUUAGUGAUUGUGCUUGAUAAAUGAUUGGUUGAGCAAUUCCAACUUCAAUGCACCAAAGAUUAUAAUUGGUCAAUUACCAAGUACUAUGGAUAAUCUCAAUCAAAAGUUAAAUUACUUCAAGCAGCCCACAGAAACAGACCCAAAACUUUGCAGUAAUUUUUUAUAAGAGAAAAAUAUGCAGAAUGAAAUGCUGUUUGGUCCCUAAUAAACAAAUACUUGUCAAUUUCUCCAUCUCCUAAUCAUUUUAAUUAAUAAAACAUUCUAACAGCAUCCAUCUUCUGAGAGCUGUGAUCUUCAGUACGAAAGGAAGAAGAAAUCAUGACCAAAAAAUUAGCUUUCACCCAGAAAUAUCAUAUGUGCUAUCGGUUGGUUCACAGGGAAGUUCCAUUUUGAAUUGUUUUUACCAAGCUCCCUAGAUUAACCGUAGACCUUGCUGAUUUGCCAUGUAAUGUCAAGAUUAACCAGGAAGCAUUAUCGAUGGCAGAAAGAUUUGUGGAGCUGCACGAAGAAGUUCAAGACCAUUUGGAAUGGUCUAACUCGAAGUACAGGUACAGCUGUGCAGGUUGAUAAAAAUAGAAGGGAGAAGACACUUGAGAUUGGGGACCUAAUCAAGGAGCACCUUCAAAAUAACAGAGCUAUGGAUGGGACAUACAAAGAUUCAUCCAAAGAAGAUGGGACUUUUGUGUAUCCUAAAGAGGAUUGGUGCAAAUGUGUACAAGGUGAAUCUCCCCCAUUUUUAAUGUCGCCAAAAUUUCGUACUGUCAAGCACUAGAUACUUUUUGUUUGGCACCUUUACACAAAGACGAGUACUUUUUUUCUCCUUUUUUUUUUUUUUUUUUGGUGGUAGGGUGAAUGGAAUUGUAUGACAAAAAUAAGUGCAAUAACAGAAUUGGGACAAGCUAUCAAGGGAGCUGACGAAUUGAGUAAACUGUUUUACUCCAGAAAUAUCUAGGCAAUCCAGUAGGCUUCACAAUAUCCAAAAACCAUAAUUUAUUACAUGAUGGCAACAAAAAAAUUUCCUACAAGUGUAACAAUUUAAAUUCAAUAUCCAAAAAAGAUUAAAAUUUUUCUUUGGGCUGCUAUGAUGGGGGCUUUUCUUUGGUCCUUGCCUUUACUCAACAAUUACCUUCAGCUCCUCUCCAUUAUUUUGGUGGACCAUCCUUUUCAGGGCAAUAAAGAGGUCCUUUGGCUUGCUUUCAGCAGUGCUUUUGUCUAGAACCUAAAGAGUACUGGAAUGGUUCAGGGACGUUUUCUAGAGUAUUUUAUUUUACCCAUGAGUGUUUGGGUCAGGAGCUCACGCUUGCCUCCACUAAUCUCUAUUUAUAACUUCUUAGGUCUUAACCAAAGUCCUCCUUUAUAUUUACCACUAGAACAACCCAUCAUGAAAGAUCUUUCUAGAGUUUUGAUUUCUUCUUUGAACUUAUACUCUCCACUGCUUACAUAAUUUCAAUCCCCUAUUUAGGUGAAUGACAUAUUAUCAUGUAUAAUCAGCUAUAUUAAACAGUUUGUUUUUAGUGAUCCUUUUGUUAUAUUCUUGAGUUAUUCUGUAUUCCAAACUGUAUUGUAAAAGAGUAUUAUAAAUACUCUUAAAUACCAGCAGAUAAAUCAAUAAGAAAACAGUUCAGUUGCUAUCCAUUGGGUAUUAGUUUUCAUCACAUAUUAGCAUUGGUACGAAUCAUACGAUCAUAAUUUUAAAAAAGCAGCCUACAAUAUGACCAUAAACUUUAUCCAGCCGGAAAGUGGCAACGAAACAAUAAACAGAAAAUCAUAGCAAAUACAAUCAAGACUAUGUAACGAAAUUAAAUGAAGAAAUCAAUUAAGAAGGGGGGGAGAGAGAUCGGAGUAAUGGGAAGUGCGAGAAAAAUGAAAAGAUAUAAGAACAUAGAAGAAAGGAAGUAAGUAAGUUCGUUGGUACCUUCCCUUUGGAGGAAGCGAAAUCGAUUGCUGGAGGAGAAGGAAGAAUCCGCCUAUAAAAACCCGCCACCGCCAUUUUUCAAAAACUUGUAGAAAGUUUGAUGAUUAAAUCAAAUGAAUCAACGACGAGGACAAGUCGAUGAAUUAAAAAUUGAAUUGUCUCCUCCUUGUCCUCGCCGCUGACAGACCGAAGACUCCGUAGUUAUUUGUUAAAUUCGAACCAAAUCCAAAGCCCAUUUGUAUUCCACUCUAAAUUAAGAAUAAUUAACAAUUGUUCUUCUCUUUUUUCCAAGUCAAAAAAGGGAAUAAGUAAAACAAAACUUUUGGUUACCAAUUAGCAUUCAAAAAAGUCAUUGAUAAAAGCACAAUAUGGAUCAGAAUCGAUUCAACUAAAUUUGUGAUUAAUUUACUAAUAAAAUCUUAUUAUAACUUUUUUUUAUUAGAUUUAUGUAUAAUUAUAAAUCUCACCUAAGUAAAUACCAUAGAUUCAUCAUUUUUAUAUCAUAUGGCUACAACAAUAAUAUCUAUAAUGACAAUAGGGUAAAGACGGAAAAUCUUAUAUAACUUUUAAACGCAACGAAAUUGAGUAUCUUUUUCUCGACGAGAUUGAGUGUUUUGAUUACAAAUUUAGAGUCACACGCCAAUUAAAAUCACAAUAAACAAAAACAAUCAAAUAAAGACCACUUUUCAAUUUACUAUUGAUUUAUUACAAUUACGAAACCUAGUAAGCUCAACAUUUCACUUAAUUAUCUAAUUAUAAUUGGUUAAGUAACAUUUUUUAAAACACUUUUUCUUAAUGAAUAACUUUGAAUACUUUUUAACCACGUUGGUUUAGUGGUUCCAUCGUAGUAAUUCAAUAUCAACAACUUUACAUGUUUUAGUUAAGAACACAACGAUCAUCUCUAUUGUUAUUUCUAUUUCUAUAGAUGAUAUAUAGAGAUACGAAUGAAUGAGAUAAUGUAAAACAAACGACUAAAACAGUUAGUUUAAGUCAAUAUAAACUAUAUUAUAGACGUGUAUACUGACAUGACAUAUUAAAAAGGGUAAAAAAAAAGGAAUAAACACGUGAAAGGAAAGAACAUUUUCAAAUAUAUCAUAAUAAAAGAAUAUUUACAUAAUAUAGUAAAAUUUCUUAUUGAAUUCAUUGAUAAUGAAAUUUUACCAUAUUUUGUAAAUUUUUUUUUUUGGCACAUUUACCGUAAGGUUUCUAAAUAAAAAUGAUGAACGUAAGAAAAUAACAACAAUUUUUUUUUUUAUAAGAAAUAAAAAAGGGAAAGGACUCCAAAUUUAAGGGGUCUGACAUAGAUCGCUGUCUUUGGAUAAAGAAAUGGAGCCGGUAGCGGUGGUGGAGCCAGGGUCGGAAUGAGGGGACUUGUAAGUUUCUGGAGCCAGGUGGGGUUUGGUUCGGGUUGUUUUCUUGCGACGGGUUUGUCUUGGGACGUCCGGUAGGCUUAAGGUGGGGGAGUGGUUGUUGUUGUUGUUGUCCGACGACGAUGGUUCCUUGGACUUUGAAGAUCGUCUUGUUUUUUGUCUUUCCGAUGACCUUUCUCUGCAUGUGGGAGACUCCGUUGAGGAGGAGGUGGUGGAGGAAGAAGAAGGGUGUUUUGAUGUUUUUGUUACGUCCGCCGUUAAAUUUUUUGCUGAUGAACUUGAACCCUUCGCUACUCUUCUGCUAGGACGAUCUACACACACAAACUCAUAAGGUGUCAAUUUCAAGAAUUUUUUUACGUGCAAUGCAAAUUUUCAAUUUUGAAAAAAAUUAAACCAACGUGCGACGAACAAUAUGUGUUUUUGGUUUUAAAAAAUAAAAUUGUGUCAAAAGACUUAUUAAACAAAAUUUAAAUAAAGUUGAUGAGGAGUCAGACAAGUAAGUAAGCAAACCUUCUGAUACCCAUUUAACAGAAACAUCCUCUUUGUUGUCUCCAGAGGCAUGCAGACUCAACGGAGCAGAUGAAAACGAUGGUGGCGCUUUAAAUUCAUUCAUCUACAAAAUUAGUGACCCGUUUUAUAUGACAAACAAUACAAUAUAAGAUUGAGAACAAAUUUUGAUUAUAUAUGCAUAUGGUUAAAAACUAAAUCAAUAUUGAUUUUCGAAAUCUUACCCAGCUUGGAGAAUUGACAGAAGGACCAUCCCAACCAAUAUGAGCAACAUGUUUAACAUCUGUUGGAUGCCCAAUUUUCAUCUCAGCUUCUUUCUCAUUGUCUGUAUAAACCCAAAAUCAUCCCAAAUAAUUAAAACUUAAAAAAAUCAUACUAAUUAAUACUCACAAAACGUAAAAAUAAAUAAAUAAAUAAAUCCACUUGCCAAAUAUUUGAGAUAUGUAUCUUAGGCCCUUUAGAAGCCCCUUGACUCUGCUGUUUGACAUUUACAACAAUCUGUUUGUAAAAUCUUGCAACUUCUCCAAAUCCCAGAAUUAAUCAGUCAAAUCUUCCACUUUAAUGCUAAACAAUCAAAUAAUAAAAAAAAGAACCCAUUAAGUUAAUCCAACAUAUAAUUAAGAAAACACAAUUGAAGAUUUUCUUUAGUUUCACCUCAAAUAAUUACAAGAAAGAAGGUGUGAAGGUGAUCAGAGGUAGAUUAAGGCAUAAUCCUGACAUGUUCUUCUUGAUGCUGUUCUUUAAUUUUGUUGGCAAUUGAAUAUUUAGGAGAAGGUAAGGAAGAAGGGAAAAAAAAGGGGAAUGGAUUAUUGACAAAUUAAACAAUUUCUGUUCCAGAGAAGUUUAUCAAUAAUUUGAGCUGCAUUAUUCCAAAUUAUUAUUUGUUUGUUUGUUUGUUUUUCUUUUCUUAAAAAAUAAAGAAAAUGUUUAGGAAAUCUUUAACCUUUUAACUUCUAAAAUUAGGGUUUUAGCUUUUACAGCUCUUUUUCACUUUGAAUUACAGCCUGUGUGUGUUUAAUUUAAUUUACAUCCAACUCUCUUUGACUCAUCCUGAUUGAUCAAACUUUCUUAUGUGCCCAAAAUUAAUUUACUAAUUAUUUUAUUUCUUUUUAGUGAUUUGUCAAUCACACUUGGAUCCAAUAUUUUUGGAAAUUUAAAUUUAGGUAAUUAUUGUAAUGUUAUAUAUUUGAUAAUGGUCGAUAUUUAGGUGUAUCACGAGUUGUCUUGACGUGUAGUCCACAUAGAAAAUAACUAAGCUAUAGUUAUCGACUAAUUACCGUAUUAUGUUCGUUAAUGGUGGGAUCGUUUUUGUAGCUAAUUAUAAAGUUAAAGCAUAAAGAAGUUAUAAAAAAAUAUGAGAAAUUGUUAGGUAAUUAGUAAGGUUUAUAUCCUUUUAAGAAUUAUUCCAAUUAAUAAUGAAAAUGAUUGAAGAUAUUCUUUUUAUUAACUAAUAAUAUUAUGGUCCUUUUCAAAUAUAAUAAAACUGAUUAUGACUGAUGGAAUCCAAAUUUUGUUAUAUUUUUUAAAAAUGUUUUCAACAAAUUUAAUAUUUACAAUAAUUUUUAGAUUUUUAAAAAAUAUAACAAAACGACAAAAUAUUUAUUUAACAAUUUAGAAAAUGGAAAAAGUUCACAGCUCAUAAUGAAAAAUACAAAAAAAAUGUCCCUGAUUAAUUGACAUCUAGCAUGGAUAUUGUAUUUGAUAAAUGGUCCUUUAACAUUUCGCUAUUCUUUCAUAUACAAUCGUUUAGAUUUGGAUUUUCAUAAGUUCUUUGGUAUGAGAACAAUUUUUUUCAAGAUUUUUUGGUACAAACAUUUAAAUUUGAUAUAAAUUUGGAUAGUCAAAUCUCAACCAUUCUUUUAUUAUAUUUUAUAUUUUAAAAAUAAAAGAAAAAUUGUAGAAGAAGAGAAAAAGACGAUGGAAAGAAGGACGAACAUAAAUAUUUAAAAUAAAUUGUAGAGAAAGAAGAGAAAAAUGAAGUAGAAAGAAAAAAAAGCGAACGAGAGAAAGAGAGGAAAAACUAUGAAAACUAAUGACAAACCUAAAAUAUUUUUUAAAAAAUGAUCCGGUUUUUUCAUUUUAUGAUGUGAGCCAUAAAUAUUUGGACGAUUUAUUAUAUUUAUUAAAAUUAACCCUAACUUUUAAUAAUAUUAUUUGAUUAGAAAUUCUAAAUUCUUGGAAUAAAAUCCUAAAUUACAAAACCACCAAUCAAUUAGGAAUUAAACAUAUGUUAAAGAGACAAUAAUACAUUAGUUCACCCAAUAUAUAUUAUUAAAAACUAUAAUUUAUGUUUAAACAAUGUUAAACUAUGUCUUUAUCACCAACCCAAAUUAAUAAUCAAUACAAUUAGUCAUACAAAUAAUUAUCACUUAAAAAAUUGAUUACAACCUUUGUUUUCAUUCUAAUAAUCAAAUGUGUAGGAUCGAUGCAACUUCCUUCAUUCUCUUUGUAUUUUCUCAAAUUUUGAGGUCAACUCAACCUAACCCUCCAUUGUACCUUCCAUCAUAUCUUCUUCUAAUCCCUUCUCUAAAAAUCCUAUUAAUUCUUCCUAAAUUUCAGUCCAUGGCUACAUAUUGUUAGAUCACAAUCAUCAAAAUCAGUUUGUUUGUUUUUUUUUUUUUAAUAAUUAGAAGCAGUUGAUUAACUGUUAAUCUCUCAAACAUGGAGAUUAAAGCUUGGUUAAGAAGGAAGAGAUCAAGAUGAUGAUGGGAGGGUUAUUCUAUAUUUGGGGUUUAACCAUUGCUCAGCUGCUGCUUAUUCUCAUCAUUCUCAUUAUUCAUCCAAUUACAGCACAAGAGGGUUAGUAUAUAGUGUGUAUUAAUAUUGUUUUGGUUUUAAUUGAUGUGUUCAUGAUCAUAAUUUUAGGUGGAAAUAAUAUAUAUACAAUGAUUAAUUUUUCUUAUUAUGAGAUUAUUAAAUUAACCCUUUAAUCCUACAUCCUUAAUUAUAGUGAUUUUUGUGUUACUUUUGGAGGCUUGAAGGAGAUUUACAUAAUAUAAUAUGGGUCGAUUUUGUUUGAUGUAGGUGUGUGUUUAUAUAUAACAUGAAGUUUUAUCUUAAAAUUAAUCGGUAAUGAGAGAAGUAAUUAACUUAUCUUCGGUUAGAUCUAAAUUAAUAAAAUGAUUUCAUCCUCUCCUUGUACAUAAAUUAAUAGGAUACUAAGAUAAGUUUAGAAUUUAAUCUAGGUUCAUAAUUAGAAUUUAAUUCCUAUGGCUGUGUGUGUCUAUAUAUAUAUGUAAAAUUCUCGUAAGGAUUAUAACUGAGACGAUUUAUUUAUGAAGUUUUUUAUCAAACCAACUAUUUUUUAGUAUAAUUUUUUAGAAAAAUACUUGGAAGCAUCUUGAGUUGUAUUCAUUGUUCUGUUCCGCGUCCUAUCUAAGUGUCCUAAUUCACAAACUAUAUCACUUGACCAAUAUUUUCUUUUUUUGAAAAGAAUAUUUUUUAAAUAAAAAAGAAUACAAAAAGAUAGGUGUAACCUUGGUUAUAUCCAAGUAUUGCUCUAAUUUUCUUAUUAGGCUAACUAAAUCAACCAAAUUAAUAUGAAUGACAGAGUGACGAAUUGAAAUGUAUUAUGGGGUUUUUGCAAAAUAGCAAAAAAAAAAUUAUGAUAAUAGAGCUUAUGUCACAACAUUUUACAAAUUUGCAUAAGUAAUAAAUUUAAAAGUGAUAAUCAUUUGAUAGUCCUAUGAUUACCAUCUGAUAGUCAUAUGAUUACCGUUUGAUAGUUCCUUGAUAACUUAUAAUUAUUGUCUGAUAGUCGUCUGAUAUCGAUAGUUUUUCCAUAUUCACAAUAUGAAAAAAAAUAGUGUCAUGAACUAUUUUUUAAAAAUGUUUUGGUCAUUUGAUGCAAUUUCUCAUUAUUAUUUCUUUUAAAAAUUAGAGGUUCAAAUAAUGUUGAUACUCGAUUGACUAAAACAAUGCAGGUUUCGUGAGCUUAGCUUGUUGUGCAGAAACAAACUUCAUAGACAAGAACACAAGCAUUGAGUGGACACAAGAUUCCCAAUGGUUGUUCCCAAAUUCCUCAUCAACUUGUGCAAACAUAAACAACGAUAAUAACAUUAACAAUAAUGAGAAAUCUAGAAUAUUUGGUAGUACUCUCUUGGGGUGGAAGAGAUAUUGCUAUCAUUUCGACACCAUAAAAGGGGAAGAAUAUUUGAUAAGGGGUACAUUUUUGGUGAACGAGUCAACCAAUAGCAAUCGACGUUAUUCAUCGUCUUUAUUUGGUGUUUACAUUGGGAAUACGCUUUUGAGUCGAGUAAAAACGUUUCAAGACUCGAUAGUGAUUGAAGCAAGUUUCAAAGCCGAGAGAAAAUACAUAGAUUUUUGCUUGGAGAAGGAUGAUGAGGGAGAUGAAGCUUAUAUAUCAUAUCUUGAAAUUCGACCACUUCAGAAUUUUAAUUAUCUCUCCAGGUUUCCAUCUCGUGUUUUCAAAUUGAUUGCUAGACUCAAUGUAGGAGAAUCUACAUUGGAUAUCAGGUAUUUUUUUUUUUUUUACUAUGUUUAUCAUGUUUAUCGUUCAUUAUAUCUUUGUGAACUCUAAAAUAUUAAAAAAGUCGAAAAAAUCAUCAUGUAAGAAAUUGUGAUUAUACACCAAUAGGGUAAGCUAGCUACGAAAAAAUGGACUAACCCAAAAAUAAACUCAAGUGUUUUUUAUGCUUACGUCCGUCACCACUUCAUUGUUGCGUUCAUCAUAAAAUGGUUGAGAUGACUUCAAUAUUAUGAUGUUCUACUACACAACCAAAUAUUAGUUUCUAUCUAUUCUUUAGAAAUUGAGCUAUCUGUACAAAAACCUCUCCCACUUUAGUUGGUUUCAUUGGGCAAAAUUUUGUGUUUUGUAUAGGAAAAUUGUAAACAUAAGAAUUUAAUGUAAAAGAAUUUGGAACCAUCACAAUUAAUUUUUAGUUAUUUACUUUGAUUUUUUUUGCAAAUUUCAGGUACCCAAAUGACCCGAUCGAUAGAAUUUGGAAAGCUUCGCCAUCUUUCCUAAAUGGAAGUCGUUUCUUGUUAGACUCAAAUAUCAACAUCUCAUCCAAGUUCAACUCCAAUGCUUCGCUUGGCGUUCCAUUGGAAGUCCUCCGAACUGCUGUUACACAUUCCGACCAGCUGGUUUUCCUCCACGAUGAGCUUGACACAGCAACUUAUGAGUAUCGUAUCUUCUUUCACUUUGUUGAGCUCAACCAGACUGUUGAAUCUGGCCAAAGAUUGUUUGACAUUUUCAUUAAUAAUGACAAGAAAGCAACAAAUUUUGACAUUCUAGCUCAUGGGUCCAACUACAAAUGGGAAUUUUAUGAUGUUUUGGCUAAUGGGUCACUUAACUUGACCUUGGUCAAGGCUUCAGUUGGGUCUGAGUUAGGACCCAUUUGUAGUGCUUAUGAGAUCAUGCAGGUACGCCCCUGGAAUCAGGAGUCUGAUGAGAAUGAUGGUAAGAUUGCGUUUGUUGGGCUUUGGAAGCAAAUGUUUUCGAGUUUUGUUUUUAGAAUCUUGUUACUAAUUGGGCAGUUUUUUUCUCACUUCAUCCAUUUCCUCUGCUUCCCAGUUGAUGUGAUUUUGAAGGUGAGAGAUGAGUUGUUGGUUGCUAACCAACAGAACGAAGUAUUGGGUAGUUGGUCAGGGGAUCCUUGCCUUUCGAUUCCAUGGGGCGGUCUGGCUUGUGACUCCAUCAAUGGAUCUUCAGUUAUCACCAAACUGUUAGUGGUUUCAUUCUAUUGUUCAUAAGUUGUCUUGUGCUUACUUCAACUAUGUUGUUAAUUCACAUGAAAUUGUACAAAACAGGUGGAAAUUUUUGUAUGUUGGCAGGUUUUGAACUUAGACUCUCUUACCAUACAUGUUUCAUAAUUAACAUUACAUACGUUUGAGCUAUUAUGUUUGGUUCGUUCGACCAUCUAAGUUUCUUCUUGAUAAUUCUUCCUAGUUAAUGAGAUGCUGGUGGCUAUUUCCAGUGAUUGAACUCAGAAUCUCUUACUAUACAUGUUGAAUAGUUAAAAUUACAACUUUUGAGGUGUUAAGUGUGGUUCACUCAAUCAUAUAAAUUGUUUCAUAAUAAUUCUCCCUAGUUAACGAGUUGCUGGUGACUGUUUCCAGUGAUUGAUUGUUUUAGUGUGGGGCUUUAUUCUGUUGGUUUGUGCAAAUUUCCAGGGACCUCUCUGAGCAUAAGUUCAAAGGAUUGUUUCCUGUCAGUUUACCUAAGCUGGCCCAUUUACAAACUCUGUAUGGUUCCCUCACAUUCUCUUGUCUUUUGGUCAUUAAUAUUAGGGUGAGUAAACGAAGUUUAAUUUCAAAAUGAUUCUUUUUGUGGUAUGCAGGGAUCUCAACAACAAUGACUUCACCGGGAACAUCCCAUCAUUUCCCACUUCUUCAGUGUUGAUAUCAGUGUAAUAAGAUGAUGUUUCUUUGUUUGAUUUCAAACUGUCCUUUAACUCCCUCGAUAUAGAUUUAUGUUUUCCCAUGAAGAAAUUAUCUGGCAUAUAAUCUCUUUGAAUAUAGAGUAUAUCAAAAUCUAUAGGCAUUACAAAAUUUCCCUUAAUUGGUUUCAUUUAUUUUUUGCCCCUUAUUUUCUCCCUAAAUUCUAGUCAGGGUUUACAAGUUAAAAAACCAAAGUAUGCAUCAGGAGCUAAGAGGAAUUUUAAUUUGAUUCAUAUCCAGGGAUCUGAGGCACAAUGAUUUUAGGGGAGAACUCCCUGAAUCUCUUGCUUUGUUGCCACAUUUGAUAACCUUGUAAGUUAUUUCAGGAUAUUAUGCAAUCCUUUGGUAUCUAAAACUUGUAUGAUCUAAACUUUUGCAGACUACAACCAUUGCUUAACUAAAUCAUGAACAUUGUUUUGAAUCUGCCUCCUUUAUCAGUAUUCUGAUUUAUAUGCAGAAACUUUGGCUGCAAUCCUUACUUUGGCAAGGAGCUUCCACCCGACUUCAACAUGUCAAGACUUACUACAGAGUAAGAGUCCUUCCAUUCACACUUUUAUUGGUCAUAAACCAUUUGAAUUGAAAUUUAUGCUAGAUGGUUCAACCGAAGCUAAAAAUUCUACCUCAUUGCAGCUAUGGAACAUGUGAUAAUUUAGAUUCAACAUUUCCGAAAAAAGGAAUUGUCAUAGGGACGGUUGCAACUGGAGCAGUUCUAUUUACCAUUAUUUUUGGUGUCAUUUAUGUAUACUGUUGCAGACAGAAAUUUGUGUUUAGGGGAAGAUAUGACUUGAAAAGAGAACUUGUGAUGAAAGGUGUGGUACUUUCUGAUGACUCUCGUAUUCUAAGAUUCCCACAGAGAAAAAGUUAAUUUUUUUUUUUAAAAAUGUUUAAAGAAAAUUAUUUAACAAUUUUCAAAUUUAUGAUCUGAUUAGGUAGAGUUUCUACCAUGAUACUACCAAGAAAUGACAUUUAUAUUUACUUGGAAUACAUGUUGUUAUAGAAUCACAUUACGUUUUCUUUAUAAAUAUCUGUAUUCAAUGAAUUCAGGAUUGUGAUGAACAACUUACAAAACUCAUCAAACUUUAAAAUUUGAAUAAUUUGGCAUCAUCCCGAUCCUCCCCUCCUCCACAAAAAAAAAAAAAAAAAAAAAAAAGGAAUAAAACAGGCUAUGAUCUUGACCAUGUCGUAUAUUUUCUUUUAUGAUGCAAAGUUCCUUAAGAAAGAUUUCAUGAAUUAAAAACAGAGUUAUACCCAAAGAUCAUUAGAGUCUGUCCAUUAUACUAUAUUUUAAGGAAGUGUUUCACCAUAAUUCAUCUACCAUUUUCUUUUAAAUAUUAAUUAUCAAGGAAAUAUUCAUAUGUGUAUUGUUUUUGUGAAAUAUACUAGUUACUAAGUGCGAAUUACUUGAAAUGCAGAUAUAAUCAUUUCUCUACCCAGCACAGACGAUGCCUUUAUAAAAUCAAUAUGCAUACAAUCAUUUUCUCUCAAGUCUAUUGAAGCUGCUACACAACAAUACAAAACCUUAAUAGGUGAAGGAGGGUUUGGAUCUGUUUAUCGUGGUACUUUGUCUGACGGUGAGGAAGUGGCUGUGAAGGUCCGUUCUGCAACAUCUACUCAGGGAACACGAGAAUUUGAAAAUGAGGUCCGUAUUAGAAUCCUGAUUUCUUUACUAUUAUUUAUUUUUUCUGAUUCUCAUUGAAAAACAUCAUUCUUUUCUUUAUUUAUAUUUACCUGUAUUUUUAACAUUCAUUCAUAUGGUUGGAUAAAGUUAUUGGACACAAUUUAGCUCGUAUGUUUCUAUAAAAAAAUAUUAUUACUUUAUGUCGUAGAUAGCUUUUAGAAAGCUGUCAAUUAUAGAUGUCUUCUUACACCACCUGAAUUUGCCCAUUUCUGAAUUACAGCUAAACCUGCUUUCAACUAUUAGGCACGAGAACCUGGUACCUCUUCUUGGCUAUUGCUGUGAAAAUGACCAACAAAUGCUUGUCUACCCUUUUAUGUCAAAUGGAUCACUGCAAGAUCGUCUUUAUGGUAACUUCUAACUUGCAUGUUAGAUCAUUUCCGCCAUCACCAUAUCCUCUUUCUUAUAUGAUAUUAUAACCAAAAUUACCAGGUGAGCUGGCGAAGAGGAAGACACUGGACUGGGCCACUAGACUUUCAAUUGCACUUGGUGCUGCCAGAGGCAAGUUAUAUUGUAUUUGUUGUCAUUUAAUUUCUGACGCAGGGAAAAUGGGGUUAGUUAAAGCUGGUUAGAGAAGAGAGAAUGUACGGUGUUAUGUUCAGCAAUGUAAUCACGGAAAUAUUUUUCUUUUCUUCUUCUUCUUUUAUUUUGUUCUAUUUAUUUAUUUUUUGUGGUGGUGUUGGUGGUGGUUGGGGGGGAUUGGGCACUGUCAGAAUGGUAAUAUCAAGAGAUUAGUUGUUUGGAACAGAGGACUUGGCUGUCGCACAUUUGAGAUGAUCAGAUGAUCUUCCUGAUGGCUAAAAAAGGAAGUUGGCUAGAAAUAGCUUAAAGUAAUCCUACUAAAUGAAUUGUGUGACAAAUAAUGGUCAUUGUAGGAUUGUUACCUUUUCAUAGUUUUGGGAAUACCUUAGGCAAUUGGAGUUUGAAAUCAAAACUAUUUUCUCUGCCUCAUUUCAUCUUUAAUUGGGGUUUUUGAUGUAGAAUAUUGUCACCCUUCUAAAAACGAGAGAACUCUUGAGUUAGAAACCAUAUUGAGACCUUAUAUUUUAGCAGCUAACAAAAUGGAUGACAGGGAAUUUCAUGGGAUUCUUUCUCUUUAUUUUUCCAGGUUUGACGUAUCUUCACACAUUUGCUGGCAGAUGUGUUAUACAUAGAGAUGUAAAAUCAAGCAAUAUACUUAUGGACCAUAGCAUGUCUGCCAAGGUUGCAGAUUUUGGGUUUUCAAAAUAUGCACCUCAAGAGGGUGACAGUGGUGCUUCCCUGGAAGUCAGAGGAACUGCUGGGUAUUUAGAUCCUGAGUAAGUUUUUUGUUCCACUUUGCUCUUUGUUCAAAUGUUAAUCACUCCAGAAAAAUGAAAAAUGGUUGAACGUUUACUUUUUUUGUCAAUUUGUGAUUCAAAUUUUUUGUUCAGGUAUUAUACGACCCAUCAUUUGUCUGCUAAAAGUGACGUGUUCAGCUUUGGUGUGGUUCUCCUUGAAAUCAUAUGUGGUCGUGAGCCUCUGAACAUUCAUAAACCUCGCAAUGAAUGGAGCUUGGUUGAAUGGGUAUGAUUCAAUUCUAUGAUAUAUUUAUGAACUUUGAGCUUGAAGUGUUUCUUAGUAUUUGAAAAAUCAUUCCAAAUAGAUCGUUCAAGCUUACGAGUGGCUUUGGAAAUGCAGGCCAAAACUAAUAUAAGGGAGUCAAAGAUUGAGGAGAUAGUGGAUCCUUCCAUCAAAGGAGGCUACCAUGCAGAGGCAAUGUGGAGAGUUGUGGAGGUGGCAUUGGCAUGUAUUGAGCCUUACUCGGCCUAUCGACCUUGCAUGGCUGAUAUUGUGCGUGAGCUAGAGGAUUCCUUAAUCAUAGAGAACAAUGCUUCAGAAUACAUGAGGUCCAUAGAUAGUUUUGGAGGUUCCAAUCGUUUUUCGAUGGUUGUGGACAGAAAGGUAGUAGUUCAACCACCCACUCCAACUCCAACAGAGCCAUCGCCAGUCUCUCACGAAUUGACCCCACCCGAGCCCAGGUAGCCUCUGAUGAAACUAGAUAACUAGGUAUUGCUAGGCUAGUCUAGUUAACAGAUAGUGAGGAUUCAGGGACACCAUUUGAGGAAUGCUGAAAAAGUAUGUUAGCACUUUCACGAGAGUAUAGUUGUUAGAAUAUAUGUGCGAGAUGCAUGAAACAUGAUGCAUUCUUUGGUACAUUUGUUUAGUACAUUUCUAGUCAAGCUUAUUUUAUUAAGGUGCACAAAUGGUAUGUAGACGUAUUACUUAUUUACUUUGGCCUUUUCCAAGCAUCCGUUGUGAUAUAUAACAGGAUCAUUCCAUCCUUUGUAACUGUAAAUGCUAAGGGUAACCUGAAUAGAAGGUGAUAGUAUAACAAUAUGAUAAAGAUAUUUACAACAACCUUGCAUGAACAUGAUCUAUUAGAUGGGUUGUUCAACAUGAUCAACUUGGUACCUUUUUUUUGUCAUUUUUUUAACACCGCCUGUAAGACUAGCAGCGAGGCGAGUUUGGCAAUUUUUCAUCCUCUUUUGUGGGUAUGGUUGGGAUCGUCUUUUCUAUCUUUGAUUUGAUCUUUUUGGUCACAUAGUAUCUGAUUUGUGGUUUGGUGAGGGAAAAGCAUCGUGAGAAUAGUAAGAUUUUAAAUAUGUAUUUGUGUCUAUUUUUUGAGGUUAUGGCUGACAAUUAAGCAAUACUAGUGUCCCAAAUGAUUCCAAUGGUGUCGAAAGUGAUUGGAAUACAAGUUGAAUGAAUCUAACUCUUAUGCAUGGCGAUCAAACGUUCAUCGUUUAUUAGGAGUAUUGAGAUGAUGAUCACAUUACUAAAGAAUCAUCAAUCGAUACUACCAAAAAGGCUUGGUUGCAGAACGAUUCAAUAAUGCUACAUAUUAAGAAUUUGCUUAGGCGUAAGAUUGGUUGGUUAGUGACUUUUCUCAAUGGAAAAAAGGAACAAACAAUAAAUAUUGAUUAGUUCUUAAAAACUUAUUUUUAAUUCUAGAAUUUGGCUAUUAAUUCAUAUGUUACUUUGAAAAAGGAUACAGAACAAAGGAACUAAAGGAAGAUGAACUCCUCUUGCAUAGAAUUAUUAUUUGAUUGCAUUUCAAAAAGUUUCAAAGCAGCUUGGUUGCAAUUUCUCUUGCUUUACAUAGUGCUUCAAGUGGUUGAGCUUUAGGCAUACUAACCCCUUUUCCUUCAUUCAUAUCUACUUCCUUACCAUCAAUACUCUUCCAAUCAAAACAUUGAAUCAACGUUCCAAGCAUCAAACCCAUCACUCUAUUUGCCAUUCCAGUUCCUGGACAAGCUCUCCUUCCCAAACCAAAUGCUAUCAUUAACUUAUUAUUUCCAUCACCUUCCCCGUUAUUAUUCUCAAACCUCUCUGGUUUAAAACUUGUUGGAUCUUCCCACAAUACAGGGUCUCUAUGGAUAGCCCACGCGUUUACUAGUAACAUUGUGUCACGUGGUAUGUCGUAUCCUGAUAUUCUACAAUCAGCUGAAGACUUAUGUGGCAGUAGGAGAGGGCCAGCUGGGUAUAACCGAAGAGUUUCUAGGAUUAUAUAUCGUAGGUAGUUUAAUUUUGAAAGAUCAGUUUCUUCAAUCAAUUUAUCUCCACCAAGUUGAGAUUCUAUUUCAGCUCUUGCCUUCUUCAACACUGAUGGAUGGUUUAGUAGAUUUGACAUUGCCCACUCUAUUGUCACUGCAGUCGUGUCUGAGCCACCAAGUAUCAUUGUCUGUGAGAUGAAACGUUAGUUAGAUAAAAAAGCGUGACAUAUUUUUCUACAAAAGGUAUUUUUAAGCAAGUUUGAAUGUUAUUUAGUAUAUAAGGAACCCAACUUGACCCAAUUCUGAAGAAGUGUUCUUCCUUUUUUUUCUUUUUAAAAAUUGAAUAUUAUUUAAUAUUUAAUGGACCCCACCUCAGUCGGGUUGAAUCAAGUUGGGUCUUGUCCGUACACAAUCGACAACAGGUUGGGUUGGACUGGGUCUUCUUUUACACUCGUAAUUUCUAUAAUAAAAUCUAGGCUAUAUUCAUCUUUGUACAUCCUACUACUCAGUUGGCUAAUCAUAUUUGUCUAACAAAAUUAAGUCAUUUUUUUAAAAAAAAACUUUGAAAAACAAAAUUCACAAGUGAAAAAGAAAAAAGAAGAGAGAUGAGAAGAACUAACCAAAAUCAAGCCUUUGAUAAUAUCAUCUGUGUAAUAGUCAGGCUGAGUCUCUUGCAACUUAAGAAAAUGAGCAACCAUACAAUUCUUCAUUUCUUCAUUACUAAUUUCACCUCUUCUAUGUUCAUCAAUCAAUCCUUGCCAAAAUGCAUCAACCCUUGUGAUAAGCUUCUUUGCCCUCUUCAUAAAACCUUGAAUAUCAAUAUACUUCAAGAUUGGCAAGAAGUCAGCUGGAUAUGAAGACAAAGUAAAUUCAAAAAGCUCAUGAACAAUAGCUUGAAAUGUUCUUGCUUCACUACUUUUAGCUGCUUCUUCACCAAAAUAUCUCUUCCCUGCCACCAUUCUCAUUGUUACAUUCAUCGUCAAUUCCUUCACCAAUGGUUUAAACUCCACUUUCCCAAAACCAUCUCUUGAAACUUCAUAGAUCUUCUUCAUUGCCCUUCUCACUUCAUCUCUCCUAAUCUCAUAAUUCGCAUUGAGACGACUUGAACACAGUAUUUCCAGUGUGCUCACACGUCGAAGUUUACGCCAGUGAUCACCAUAUGGAGCCGCACCAAGAGUGGUUUCAUUGUAACUCAAGCAAUGGCUCACGGCGAAGUUGGGACGGUUUGCGAAAAUGAUAUCGUUUUUUAUGAAGCAUUCUUCGGCUGCUUCCAGUGAUGUAACGACGACAACCGAACGAGAACCGAAUCGAAGUGAAAGUACUGGACCAUACUUUUGUGAGAGAGUUUGUAGAGUUCUAUGAACUGGAAGCUUAAGGAGAUGGAGGUGACCAAUGAUUGGAAUAGAGGGUGGACUUGGAGGUAGAUUUUUGUUGGAAUUGAAUUUCAACAAAUACUUUAUGAUUGCCAAAACAACUACAGCAAUACUCAGAAUUGAAAAGGCUGAAUAUUGUAAGAUAGAGUCUUCCAUUAUUUCCCACAUACUGCUCGGCUCCUUUACUAAGCUGCAUGGUUGAUUCACACACACACACAUAUAUAUAUAAGGUAUGGUUGUUAAAUAUAUACUAAUUAGACCAGAUAUAGUAUAAUAAUGAUUUAUUAAUAAUAGAAUUAGUUUAGUUUGUUUCAAUAUACAAUCAAAAGUAUAUUAGAGAACACAAAAUAAUGUAUAUAGGAAACAAAAAAGAAUUCGAAUCAAGAGACGUCAUUUUGAACAGGCAUGACCAACUUUAUUCACACCUCGAUCAAUCUCACAUAACAACCUGUUUGACUUUACAACAUUUAGGUGUAAAAAAACUAGUAAAAGAAAUUAAUUUUUAAGUAGUUGAUCACCGUAGAUUGAAUGUAUGACGACCCUUUAAGUUAAUUAUUGAGACUAUAUCUCAUUUUUUACUAUUAAACACCAUUAAACGUUGGCAAGACUACGAGUAUAAUCAACUCUAUGUUUAUCAAAGUUUGUUUUGGUAAGAUUCACGUGGUAUGUUACUGAUCUAAAUCAGUAAUAAUGUACUGUUUGUGUCUUAGGAAUAAUAAUGUGUUUGUCUCAUUGUGGAGAUGGGGAGAAGUGAUUUGGCGUGUAUCACGUGUAGUGAAUAACGAUCAUAUAAUGAACAUAUACAAGAAGAAAUCAAAAUGGAAACAUAUAUAAACAAUUUACCUGAUCACUCUAUUAAUUAUACGUUUUUAAUAUAACCGAAGAAUAUUUUUUGAAAAACUACGUAAGUGUCAACAUUAAUGAGCUAAUUAUUGUCACCUAUGUGGCUAGCUUCUAAUAAUUAAUAAGUACUGCUUCUGCUACAAACAGUAGACGAGUGUUUUGUCUAAACUAAGUUACUAAUAAUUAUUAAGAAAUCUGGGAAAGCGAGUAGUUUGGGCGUGUAUCACGUGGGAUAUCGAUGGAUCAUACAAACAGAUAUCACAAUCACAAUAUAUUAUAUGCUUUGAUAUAUAUAUAAUAUGAGCAUGAUAUUGCUGCUACUCCAUUCAUCUUAAACCACAUUAACACUAACACGUGAAUCAUGUUAAACCAGGGGGAUAUGAAUUCUUUCAAAACCAUUCCCACCAUGCUUUUAACUGUUCAAAAUCAAUUUUUGUAGAUGGAGAUUGGAUCUAAAGAUGUGAAAUUAAAUAUUUACGAGAGAUAAAAAUGAUUUUAACCAUUUCAAACUUAACAACAAACUGUAUUCCUGUGUGGACGUUGUCAAGGAGUAUCAUUGCUCCUAUGAUGUACUCUACAAUCUCUCUCUUUCACAUUAUAAAAAUGAAAGGAAAGGGGUGAAAGAGAUCAUAAGUUGUAGUGAAAGCAAAAAGGAAGAAUGGAUGAUAAUGGUUUGGUAAUAGCUCUCAUUGCCCUUUCCAUUUGUGCAAUCUUUCACAUACUUUUGAACUAUAUUUCCCAUCGCAGGCAGCAAAAACUUCCUCCUGGUCCUCUUUCUCUGCCAUUUAUAGGCAAUCCCAUUUGGUUUUUCAAACCUCUGUCUCAACUUGAAACCACCCUUCGCCAUUACCAUUCCAAAUAUGGCCCAGUUGUGACCCUUCACUUUGGUAACACCCCUUCCAUUUUCAUAGCCAGCCACUCUGUUUCUCACCAUGCUUUGGUCCAAAACGGCGCCAUCUUCGCCGAUCGUUUCCCCGUCAUGGAAACAGUCAAAAUCAUUACUAGUAACCAGCAUAAUAUCAGCACUGCCUUCUACGGCCCCACAUGGCGUGCCCUCCGCCGUAACCUCACGUCUGAGCUUCUCCAUCCUUCUCGUUUGAAAGCUCAUUCGGGUUCUCGUAAAUGGACGUUGGAUGUUCUCGUUCAUCGCCUCCGCCUAACAUCGGCUGCCGAGCCUGUGAAGGUCAUAAAUCAUAUUCGUUAUGCUAUGUAUUGUUUAGCUACAGUUAUGUGUUUUGGGGAGAGAUUCGAUGAGAAGUUUAUCUAUGAAGUACAAGAAUCUCAACGUGGGAUUUUGUUGAAUAUCAAUAAAUUCAAUGAUCUUAAUUUCUGGCCAGCAAGAUUGGGGAAGAUUUUGUUCAAGAAACGAUGGGAUGAGAUUCGUCAGCUACGUAAACGGCAAGACGAUUUGUUGUUACCUUUGAUUAACAAUGCAAGAAAAAACAGAACAACAAUCAAAGAUAAUGAAGAAACUGGGAAACCAAUCCCUUAUGUUGAUACUCUAUUUGAUUUAGAAAUUGAGGAUAACAACAAUGAGAAGAAGAAGAGGAAAUUAGUAGACGAUGAACUCAUAACAUUAUGUUCCGAGUUUCUCGACGCGAUUACCGAUACAACGGUUGCAUCGUUGCAAUGGAUAAUGGCAAAUAUAGUGAAGUAUCCAGAGAUACAAGAGAAGUUGUACAAGGAGAUAAAAGAAGUGAUGGGAAACAAGAAGAAGGGUGAAGAAAUAGAAGAGGAAGAAUUGGGGAAGAUAACAUAUUUGAAAGCAGUAGUAAUGGAAGGACUACGAAGACAUCCCCCGGGGCAUAUGUUGUUGCCACAUAAGGUGACAGAGGAGAGUGUUUUGGAUCCAGGAGGAUACAGGGUGCCGAAAGGAACAUCGGUGAACUUUAUGGUAGCGGAUAUAGGUUGGGAUGAGAAAGUAUGGACAGAACCAAUGGCGUUCAAGCCGGAGAGAUUCUUGAACGAUAAAGUAGAGGGAGGGGUCGAGUUGGAAGUUGAUAUAACAGGGAGUAAGGAAAUAAAGAUGAUGCCAUUUGGGGCAGGGAGGAGAAUAUGCCCUGGCAUUGGAUUGGGGUUAUUGCAUUUGGAGUAUUUUGUUGGGAAUUUAGUGUGGAAUUUCAAGUGGAAUGCUGUAGGGGAAGUUGAUUUGUGUGAGAAGCAAGAAUCUGCCAUCAUUAUGAAAUAUCCAUUGCUUGCUUCUUUGUCGCCAAGAAGCUGAAGUUUCUCAGUUUAUUUACUAUCAAGUGAAGAAUAAAUAUUACAAGAGUCGUAAGCCCAUGUUUAUGCCACCAUUCAAUCUUUUAUAAGAAAGAGCCUUAAUUUAAAAUGCAAAGCUAAGGGUAAGAAGUAAAUGAGUGAUUUUUGAGGUUUGUUUGAGAAGUUGAAAUUGUGUUGGAAGCAAGAAUCUGGUGUCACUAAGAAAAUUAUAUCCAUCCAUUUGCUUGCUUAUAAUCUGUCUCCGAGAGCUGAUGUUUCUUAAUAAUGUGAGAGCUCGAGGUUUGAGAGAGCGUUAGAGAUGUUCACGAGGUGGGAAUAGGGAUGUCGUCGUUCAUGCCCUCCGUUUGAUUCUUCAUCUUGAAAGUGUAGUGUUUAGUCUUUAAAUACAUAUAACAAAACCACAUGUAGUUAAUGUUCGGCUAAUAAAUCAACAUGCCUCAUUUUAUGCUAAGAAAUAGAGAUAACUCAGAUGAGAUUCUUACUUCUAACACCAAAAAUCACCUCAAAUUCAUAAAUAGAAAAAAGAGAAUUUAUAAUGGGGUAUACAUCAUUUUUUUCUAACAAUUUGAUUUGAGUAUAUAGCAAAUUUUUAGUUAUUCUUUAAAAUAUUCCAAAAUUACCCUCAUUUUAAAAGAAAAUUGGUGCAAUUCUCCACGAUUUUCUCACUUCUCCAUAUUCUUGGCUAUUUUCUCUCUUCUCCUAGCUCUCAACGUCCAACAACUUUACAACGAACUUUCGUUAAUAAUUAAAUGUGUUUUCUUUAAAGAUUUGGAUUCUUUUAGUCUUUUUUUCUUUUGAUCUUUCACAUUCUCCAACACAUUCAUUGACGGUUUAGGUUGUCUCUUCGACCUAACGUUUUCAAUGUUUUUCACUAUUUUCAUAGUUUUCACUGAUAGACCAUAUCCCUAAGCAACAAAACACAAAAUGAAAACAGAUUAGCAUACCAAAGAAACAAGUUCAACAUCCUCCAAAUCUAUUAAUCACUAACAAGAACAUAUCACCGUUAGAUCAUAAGCAACAUCCCACACAAAAUAUGGACAUUAAACAAAAGUAUUUACUAAACAUAUUCCAAGUCUAUCAGUGAUAGAAUGUAUCAUUGAUAGAUUAAGAAACAACACUUAAACUAAAACAUCCACCAACACACCUUACUGCAAACAAACAGAUUAACAUUCCAAAAAAACAAGUUCAACAUUCUUCAAAUCUAUCAAUCACUGAUAGAAACAUAUAACUGAUAGACUUUAAGCAACAUCGCACAAAAAAUGCAGUUUAACUUAGAUCUUCUACUGACAUAACAUAUCACUAAUCUUCUACUAACCAAAUCUAUCAACCAUUCGAUUUCAAACAAAUAGAAAAAGAAGAAACUAUAUUUCAAAUAUAUUGCGACCAAACAUAAAACAAAAAUUAUGAAAGAACGUGAACUGAAGCGAAAAUCCUGAAGCGAAGAAAGUGGAACACGAUGAAGUAGAGAAUGUGAAGCGAAGCCAUCUACGAAGGCACCAAAAUCGCAAAAGAAAAUCGGAAUAUGAAGAAAAGGGAAGAAAGUGGAAGACGGAAGGAAUACGUAAAGUGUAUUUGGGGGGCAUUUUCGUCUUUUACCUUAAAAUUGAACUAAAAUUUGCCAUAUUUGCAAUUCUUUUAAAGAUUUGUUAUAUCCUUAAUUAAUUUGUAGUAAUUUGCUAUAUUUCUAGACAGUCCUAGAAAAAAGUUGACAAACUAUUUACAUUUCAUAGAACAAAACCACUAAAAGACAAUUUAUUACAUUAUGAUCUUUCUAGAAAGUACAAAUAUUUGUCAAAUGUUCUAUUAUGGACACUUUUCCUAAUUAAUAAUAGUGGCAAAUUUAGGAAUAAUAAUAAAUGGUAUAACAAUAGUUUGAAAAGUCUAGAUGAUAGAAGUUUAUCGUUGAUGAAUUCUAGAAAUUUUGUUAUAAUUGCGUUUUUUUAAAAAAUGUUCUUAUAUAUCGGAAUAUUUUGAAUCUAGUUGUUUAUAUUUGCAACUAUCUCGAAUCAUUAUAACAAUAAAAUCUCUAAUUUAAACUAUCUACCCAUGUUAAAGUAAACUUAAUUUAUUGGUAUUAGCAUGUCUUCUGUUUCACCCCGUACUUAAAAAUGAAACCUAAGUGUUGAACAUGUGUGUGUGUAUAUAGAGAGAGAGGUUGGCAUGGUGUGAGUAGUGAAAGGAAAGUGGCUUAAUUUGGCAUGAAUCAGUUGUGGGGGAUACAUACUGAUAUAUACCAAAAGUGAAAAACGAACAUAUAUAUGAAUGUUGAGGCAUGCAAUGGAUCCAUAUAGUUGUUGUUCAUAAAGAAAGUAUUAGAUAGAUCCAUAGACAAGAGUUUAUAAGUGUUGAGAAAUUAUAUAUAUAUAUAUAUAUAUAUAUAUAUAUAUAAGAUUUUUUAACAAAAUCAAUUCAAUCAAACCAUUGACUUUUAAAGUAAUUGUAAUUAGUAUUUUACAUCAAUUAUUAUCGAUUUAUGAAUUCGAUAUCUAUACCAUCUAAUUAAAAAUGAUUAUUAGAAUACAUUAAAAAAAUUGAUAUGAUCUCCACUAUUUUGUUAAUUGAUAGUAUUUUUUUUCUUAAGUUUAGUUAAUAACAAUGUUUUCUUUUUUGGUUAAUAUUAUUUUCUUCCUUAUUUUAACGAGAGGGUUUCAUCUAAUUUCCUCUUAAGAAUAAUGAAAUUCAAUGAAACUCUUCUAUUUUUCUUCACAAUUUUUACCAUAAUUAUUUAUUUCAGUUUGUUCUUGUUCACAAAAUCCCUAUAAAAUUAAACUAUGAUAUUAGUCUAUUGGAUCAUGAUCGUUUUCCAACAAAAAAACAUCUUAUUGAAAUUCAAUAGAGUGGUUUCCAUUCUUCCACUUAACUUGUAAGAUGAACAAAUUGUUUUCGACGUCAAAAUGAUAGCUAACAUUACUAUUGUUGAAAACAACAAGCACCCUAAAUCAUUAAUCAUCUAAUGCAAGCUUUUUGAUGAUGGGACGAGCUCUACACAAGGCCUCCAAUGGCUCAACUUUAGGCAUAGAAAUUCCUUGACCUUCAGUCAUAUCAAUUUCCUUUUCACUAACUCUCUUCCACUCAAAGCUUUGUAUCAAUGAACCCAAAGUCAAUCCCACCACACGAUUAGCCAUCCCCAUCCCAGGGCAAGCCCUCCUCCCCAAUCCAAAUGGCAAGAAGCUAUAACCAUUAUUAUUGUUAUUGCUUCCUUCUCGACCCUGAUGAUCACUCUCGAACCUCUCGGGCUUAAAGCUCGUCGAGUCCUCCCAAACCUUAGGAUCCCUUUGGAUAGCCCAUGCAUUCACCAUUAACAUAGUGUCAGCAGGAAUAUGGUAUCCUCCUAAAGAACAACUGCUCGAUGAUAAAUGAGGAGCUAAGAGUGGAGCUGGUGGAUAAAGGCGUAGUGUCUCUGAAAUUACAUUCUGGAGAUAUGGUAGAUUGGAGAUAUCUUCUUCAUCUAGUAUACGAUCUUGUCCGAUUUGUUUGUCGAGUUCAUCCUUUACCUUUUUUAGUGCUUCUGGAUGGUUGAGGAGAUUCGACAUUGCCCACUCUAUUGUCACUGAUGAUGUUUCUGUUGCUGCUGAUAGAAUUGUCUGCAAAUUCAAGGAAAAAAGAAUGUGUUCAUUGUUUUUUCUCUCUCUAAAAUUUCAAAACCAUCAAUGUGUUGAUCAAAGUAAUUACGAAUAAAACAAUAAUUUUCCAUUAUGAAAAGAAAAAAGAACUCAGAACUUACAACAAUGAGGCCUUUGAUAAUUUCAUCAGUAUAAUAAUCAGGUUGAGUCUUCUGCAAGCAAAGGAGAUGACUGAUCAUUGUAUUUCCCUUUUCCCCUUCUUCUUCAUUUCUCCGAUGUUCAUCCACCAAAUUCUGCAAAAACCAAUCCGUAUCUUUCCCAAGACUUUCAACUCUUUUUGUAUAUUGCCAAUCAACCCAUUUCAAAAAUGGCAAAAAAUCCCCUGGGUAUGAACCCAAUUGAAACGCCCUCUCCAUAAUUUCUCUAAACUUCUUAGCUUCUUCCAACUCACUCACUUCUUCCCCAUAAUACCUUUUCCCUGCCAACAUUCUCAUUAUGAUAUUAAAUGUCAAUUCCGAAAACAACGAUUUCAACUUCACUUUCCCAAAUUCCGUACCCAAAACUCUAUUCAAUUUCUUUAUCAGAAUACCGAUCUCUUCUUUUCGGAUUCUCGCUGACAUGUUCAACCGUAUGGUUGACAAUAUUUCGGUUGCACUCAACCGUCUUAGAUUGCGCCAGUGGUCGCCGUAUGGAGCAGCCCCGAGUGUGGAGUUUCCAUAGGUGAGAUACUUGCCGGAAACAAACUCGGGGCGGUUGGCGAAAACAAUGUCGUUUGUCGUGAAGCAUUCUUCAAUGGCGGAUAUGGAGGAGACGACGACGACAAGGCGGGAGCCGAGUCGGAGGGUGAAGAUUGGACCGUAUUUUUGGGAGAGAUUGUGGAGUGUUCUGUGGAUUGGGUGUUUGAGGAGAUGAAGAUGGCCAAGAAUUGGGAGAGCUAGAGGGGAGGGAGGGAGGUUUUUCUUGGUUUUUUGGAUGAAGAAAAUGGAAACCAAAGCCAAGAAAGUAAUCAGAAAUGGAAGAUAGGUGAUGGCUUCCAUUUCCAUGGAGUAGUCUCAAUUCAAAGUUGUGAGAUUGCAUGCUGUGAGCAUUGCUAAAGGAAGGGAUAUAUAACAAAAAGAUAAUACUACUACUACUCUAUCUAUGCAUAUUCCUUCAUUGCAUUGCUCAUCUCGUCUUCCCCAUUAUAAAAAUAUAACGUACGUGAUGAUUCAGUCUCUGCCCAUCCCUCUUUGAAAGAAUAAAAACAUGUUAGGAAAGUCGUUCAAAUGACAAAAUCAAAAUAUUCUAUUAUAGAAGUAUGAAAAAGAGAUCGAGGGGAGAUUUUGGCAUUUAAUGGAAGAGUGUGAAAAUAUGGUUUUGGGAUGUAUGAUCACGUGUUCAAGAAAUUUGUUUUUUACUAUAUGAUUGAUGAUAGUGAGUCCUAAUUUGUUAGAUUUUAAUCGGUACCGGUGUGCUUGGGGUAAAGAGUCGUUGGAUUAUGAAGGGUUAGUGUUAUGAUAAACUUAAUAUCAUAUUUUUUAUGAUAAGAUGUGAAAUUUAUUUUUUUAUACAUUUUUUUUAAUUCAUAUUCUAAAUCUAACACAAAUUUCGUAUUUUAAUUUACAAAAUUAUCAUAUUUUUGUAAAAUAGUUUUAAGUAAUUUCUUUAAAUGUGACGUCUAUUUUCAACAUUUUUUACGUAAUCGUUGCAUGUGAAUAAUUUAUUGAUUUUUUAAAGAAAUUUGUAUUCUAAAUCCAAUACACAGAUUUAGUAUAAUUAAUUUCUUGAAAUGUCCUAUUUUCGUAAAACAAUUUUCAAACAUUUUUUUAAAUACGACGUCAAUUUUGAACUUUCUAACGUAAUUGUUACGUGCAAAUAAAUUGUUAUUAUUUUAAAAAUCAUAUCCUAACUUCAAUAUACAAAUUUUGUAUAUUUAAUUUACCAAACCGUCAUAAUUUUCGUAAAACAAUUUGCCUUAAUUUCUUUAAAUACGACAUGAAAUUUUCAACUUUUUUUUUAAGUAGUAGUUACGGUUGAAUAAAUUACUAUUUUUCAUUUUAAAGAUAAAACAUUGUCAGUUUUUCUUCUUACUUAAACAUUAUAUAUUUUUUCCUUUUUAAAUUAUAGGAUUGUUGUUCCAUGGAGCAACAAAAAUGAUAAAAAUUAUAAUGAAACAAUGAAAGAUAUAAAAAUAAGGAAGAAGAAAGGGAGAAAAAAUACAUUUUGGAAAGGGGCACUUGCAAAAAUGACAAAAUAAGUUAUAAUAAAUAAGUCCAUAGCACACAGUUUAUUAUUUGUGAAAAUAGUAAAAAUGAAGCCCAACUCACACAUAAGGUAAAAUAUCACAAAUGUCUUCGUUACUAAUAUACGUUUGAUACAUCUUAUACACGUCUGAUACACCUAAUACAUCUGAUACUUCUUCAUACACCCGAUACAUUUGAUUGAUACACUUGAUACACAUGAUACUCUUUGAUACACUCGAUACAUUUUGAUACAAACAUUACUCAUAUAUGUUUGAUACACCUGAUACACUGUCGAUACAUUUAGUAUUCUUCACUUAUACAAUUGAUUGAUUAAAUGCAUUUGAUAUGCUUGAAGUCCUACUUGUACACUUGAUAUACACUUGUAAACUUGAUUCAUAUAUUUGAUAAUGAUUCACUUUACUAAUAUACUUUAACAAUAUAUUGUUAAUAUACUUGAUAAUAAUACAUUGGGUUACAUCAUUUAUAUAUUUAAUAAUACUCUAACGAACUGCAUAAAAUUUGAAAAACUAAAAAUCACGUAGUAUGUAUAUUAUGGAAAUAAUAAAAUUACAGGAGACUUGAAAACAUAGAAUUGUGAAGAAUUGAGAAAAGAGCGAGGAAAGAUAGGUUAUAAUAACACUUCCUCCAAAGAAGGCUUGAGUUACCCUAACCCCACGGUCAUAACUAUGUUCCGUAUUAUUUUAAUAUUUUUUCUUUAAAUAAUGAAAACAUGUUUACUUAUUUUAUUUCUUUCUACUGAAUCUGAGAUUUUUUUAAAAUAUUCAAAUUGAAUUAGAACUUUUUUUUAAAGGUAAAAUAAGAUUUAAAUUAAAACUAAAAUAAGUUAUCCAAUUAGUUUGGUUUGUGUGUCAUAUAACGUGAUUCACGUUUUCUUCUUCUUAUCUUUCACUAUUAUAUUAUAUUAUACAUUUACUUAUAUUUUAACACUCUAAAACAUAAAUAAAUUUGGGUUUUUUUUUUUAUAGAAAAGGGAGGAAAGGAAAAUUUGGGGGAAAACUUAAAUUUCUUUUAGAAAUGGGGAAAGGGAAAUUUGGAAAAAUAAAAAGAGGAUUUUUUUUUCUUUUUUUAAGAAAAUGAUGAAAAUAUAUAUUAGUUGACAUUUAAACAAUGUCAAGUGAUUACCACUAAUCUUGACACUUUUAACUUGUCAAGUGUUUGAAAGAAAAGAAUAAAAAUAUUAUAUUUCUUUCAUUAAUUGUUAUUCUUGACGUUUUUUACAUUAUUUGACAGUUUUUAUUAGAAGCGUCCAGUAUUUCAAAACUACAGGUGCCAUUGUUUGACUAAAGGUCAAUCCAAUAGAAAACACUCACUUUAAGAACAGAUUCCAACAACAGGGUCCCACACAAACCCUGAAUUACAAACACAACGCCUCAACCCCGUCCCGUUAGGAUCAACACCACAAACCGCGUUUCCGUCACAAUCAGUCUCCGUAUUACAAACCGGUUCCCUCGGCAAAAGCCACUGCAACUCUAAACCCGGUUCUGGCCAUUGACCCACUCCCAAGCUCGGGUCCAAAUUCACAAAGCUCGUGUACGCACUACACCAUGAUUCCCUCACCCUAAUCAUGUACGAAUUCGAAGAUCCACCCGUCCGAAAUGUGCAGCACAGCUGCGCCAUCUCGCACUUCGUCGCUUCUCCUCUCGAUCCCUUGAUGUACGAAUGGCACAGACUCGUCGACGAGCAGUUCAACGGCGAGCCCAACAGCAAAUUCGUACAGUUGAAGUAGAGGAUCGUAUUCCCACUCGUCACGUUGAACGGUAAAGUAUUGUUCAAUUUAAUUCCUUCGUGGGCGAUAUCCACUGUCACGCACAUGUUGGGGAUGAAAUUUGAGGGGCGGAUCACCAGGCGCUGGGUCAACGGGUUGAUUGAGAUGAUCGGGUACGUGUUGUUUACCGUGUCAAAUUUCAGUGAGCCUACGUCGCAUCGGAUCUUGUACAAUUGGUCACCACAAGUGGGGCUUGUACUUAGAGGAUAGGGGACGGCAGCCCCACCGCAGUCCGGACAUCGGGUAAUGGAGGUAGCCAUUUCUGCGGUGGCAAGCAGCGCUGCCACGAAGAGGAGUAGCCGUUUUGAAAUGGAUGCCAUUGAUUUUUAUCGGAAGCUGAAUUCUUGGUGGUGGGUUUUACAAUUUGAAUCGUUUGGGUUGAAAUAAAUGGAAGAAACAUUAUUUAUUUAUUUUCUUUGAAGUUUGAAGAAUAACGGUCAAAGUAAAAGUGGGUGACAUGCGCGUCAAUGAAAGGUUAUCGAGUUGUUUCUUUAGGCAGAAAGUUGUGUUCAAUAUCAUCUAACAAUCUAAACGGUUAUAAAUUCAAUAUUAUUUGAGAUUUUUGUUUCAUUUUUAAGAGAAAGAAAGAGGGAAUGAAGUUCUAAUUUUGAACUAUUUUUAAGUGAAAAAAAAUAUAUUGGUAAGAAACUAUUGCUAUGAAGUUCUAAAAUUUGGGUUUUUAGUUUGUGAAGUUUUAGAAACUAUUGUAUUUAGUUUAGGUAUGGUUGGUUGUUAUUAGUGUGUUAAACCUAACAUACGAAUGGUUGAAUAAUAUACUGUCAUAUUACACGUUUUGACUUGCACUUCUAAAAGUUCAGAAAACCUUUUCUUUUUUGUUUUCACAAAAAUAUCAAUUUCAAAGGGCGGACUAAUUUAGGGUAACAAUGAUGUAAAUAUAGUAUCUUCUCUAUCCAAUUCAUUGUUACUGUUUUGUAGUUGAAGUCGUCAACAACGACAGUAAGAAGAUGGAAGGUUGAAACAAAUUGUAAGGUUUUUAGAUUUAUAAACUUGGAGAAUAGAAAAAUACUUGACCAUACAUAUUCAUAAGAAAACUUGGGACUAAAAACAUAAUUUUUCUUAAUAUCGUAUAUAGCACACAUAAAGUUUGAUAUAUUUUCAAUCUUGGAGAUCUUUAGUUGAUUCAAUUAAUUCAUUUGGAUAAUAAUGAUCAACGUACCAAUAAUCUCACGUCAACGAUCAAUUUGGGUUUGAUUAAUUAAAAAAUUAGUGUCUAGUGACCUAAAUUGAUUAUUUAGAUAAAUGAGUUGUUUAAUUAUGUUUUUAUUUCUGGAUCAAAUCAUCAAAAUUAUUGGGAUAUGAUAUAUAUUGGGAACUGUGUAUUGCACUUGUUGAAUUGUGAAUUAUGAUACUCAUAACGAUGCAAUAUUCAAAACAACUACGUCACCUACAAGAAAUUGAUUUUGUGCAUAUCUUUUACAUAAACUGUUGUUAUUAUUAUGAAAUUGGAAGGUGUAAAUGAGAGUAAUGAAACAUUAAGAGAAGUCUUUGUUGGGAAAAUUAAGCACUUAGUCAAGCCCUAAAUUUGGCACCCAUUGUAUAUAUAUUUCACCCAUCUCAUGGGCUUGAACUCACCUCUCCUCUCAUGUCUAUAUGUAUAUACAAUAAUAUCAUUUACAUUUUUACGUGAUAUAUGUUUACAUUUUAUUUCAAAAUAUUUACAUAUAUCUAAGAUUUCAAUAGAGUUAGUCAAUUUUCAAUUACUGAUAUUAAAAUAGAAAAUUUGUUAUGAAUAGGAGAAAAGAAAAAACAACAACCUACAAACUAUAGUAAAAAAACUUAAAUUAAUUUUGGAGAGAAUUAGAUAGAUUGUGAUAGAUUUUGUAAAUAAUUUUGAUACUUUAUUGUUUUCUAAAUGUUCCUAAUCUUUUAAAAUUAGUGUGUAACAACAAUAAUUUAACAUAUAACCGAUUAAAUAUAUAUCAACAAAAAUUACGAAUAACAAAAGCGAGUUAGAUUUCGAAAAGGAUGUCAAUUUAUAAGUACAUAAUUAAACAUAAAAAAAAUGCUUAUAUAAUUAAUAGUAACCUUGGCAUAUAUAUAAUUAAAGUGGGGAAUUUUCUAUGGUUUACCUGCUCGAUUUUCAAUCUUGUCAUUUUCUUAUUUUAUUUUUCCAAUUAAUUUUCUGAAACCACUAGAGUGAGGGUGGCUUGUCUUUGAAUCAACCUCAUAUUAUUUUUUUCGACACAACUCGUAAUAAUGUUCAACAUCCCUCUUUGCACAUUCUGCUCAUGUACCUACUCUUGGAUUCGAGGUCACCAAACACAGUCGAAGGAAAUUAUUCUUGCACCUAAGUUCUUCUAUAGUCUUCUCAUACUCUUCAUUUUUCUUUCUUCGUCUUCAAUAGUUUUGCCGACGCAUAUAUGACGAUGUUGACGUGUUGACCUUGUUGACAAAUCAUGCGUCGACCAAAAUUCUAUGUCGACGUCGUCUCAUUACGUUCUUGCGUCGUCGUUGCCUCUUACGAUACGUCAUUUACGACGCCCGUGCUAACGUGCUUCUCUAUGAGAAAAAUAAUAGUGUUAGUUUAUGGUUUGAAAAACUAACUACUACGUAUAGAAAUAAAAUAAUUGUGAGACCCGUACUUAAGUUCAGGAGUAAUUUUGACUAAGUGUUUAAAGAAACGGCGCUUUGAGAGGUCCAUGUGAUAAGAAGUUGAUAAUUAAGGUAGUUUGCGAGCUAGGUUAAGCGGCAAGACUUUUGAAGAUUGUGUUACCGUGUGAUUUAGUUUCUUUGCAUGAUGAGAAAGUCUAGGCGAGAAGAAGUAAGGAAACUUCCUAGAAAAAAUUUAAGUGUACCUAAUGGGCCACAUGAAAAUCAAGUCAUUUUAGGAGGUUUAAGCUAAGCAUGAUUAAGUUAAAUUAACCUUAAGCUUCCACGUGCACCACUAUGAGUAGGUGCUGGAGUGAUACAAGAGAUUAAAGAUGACUAAGCUAUUUUAGGACUUGUAUAAAUAGGGGAUCAAGCCAUAUUAUUUAGUACUGUUACUCUGAAAAUGUAAAGAAAAAUAUUAAAAAGUUGAAAUACUGCCAAAAUAGCUAUGCGAGUAGAAGAAGAGGAGAAACAUAAGGAUUUUGGAUUUCUAAGUUGUGUGAGUGUUUUCUUCAAAAGUAUUCAAUAUGUUUGAAAGGUUUUCAUUAAAGCCUUUAUUGAUUGAAUAAUGAUUUCAAUUUAAAUGUUCCUAAAGAGAUUUAUUUGAAAAGCUUAUGCUAUAUUUUAAAGCAUGUUUUAGAUGAUGCAAAUGAUUGUGAAAUGGUGUUUAAACCAUUAGACUUCUUCCUAUUAUUGAGCUAACUGUUAUGUGCACUUAAAGGGUAAAUGAAGUCAUGUAAAAAAAUGUGCAUGAUGAAAUUAGGAGAGACAAUAUAUAAAAGAUGUGUAUUGCGUCUCGGCUUGAGCAACAAGGAAUGAAUCAGAAUAUUCUCGGAUGCUAACAAUGAAAAUGUCGUCUUAGUAGUCUAAACGCAGGAUGAUGAGUCUUUGCGUAGAGAAUGAUUUAGGUCAUUGAUGAAAGGAAUGACUUGGCUGAUGAUUAUGUUAAAAGUAUAUUUGAGUGAUUUGAAAUAUGUUAAAGUGAUUUGAUAUGAAAAUUGAUAUUUAGGAGAGAUAUUUAGCAAAAAGGAUUUCUUCAAAACCUCACUAAUUGCAUGUAUUAAAAAGUUAACUAAAAUUAAAAAUAAAAAGCGUAGAAGGUAGCCGAUAACAAUUAAAUAUUUAUUUCAUAAAGCUAACUAACAUUGAAAAAAAGAAGUUAAUCACGUGAUAAUCAAAUUGUUUAAAAAAUGAGGGCAUAUUCAACUUUUUAUUUCAAGUUCAUUAGCAAAUUUGGAGUGGACCGAUCAAAUUUGCUACAUUUUUCAAUUUAAAAAAUAAGUGACAUUGACCCAAUUUAGUUAUAUAAAAAAGUUAUAUACACUGUCCCAUUAAAUAUCAAUACGACUUGAAGUCAAUAACUAAAAUAUGUAUUUAUUUCGAUACUCAAAUAAUAAUCGUAAAAGUUUUUUAAUUUAUAUAAGAGAUUUUAAUCUCAACUUCCGAGGUAGGUGUGCAUUAUAAAUUUAAGGAGUUUUCUAAUAAUAAUAAAAAGACAAAAUAUUUAAAAGCAAAAAUCUAUUAGAAUAAAAUCAUAAUAAUAAAAAUUGUUAAAAUGCCGUUUUUAUUCUUGAGCUUCUUAAAUCUUAAUUCUUAUACUUUAUAAUACCCAAUUCUGUUUCAUCUACUUUAGGGGCCGUUCGAGGGAAGGAAAUGAAUAAGAGGGAAAAAGAAUAAGAAAUUGGGGGAUUAAGUGAAUGAAAUGAUUAUUAUAAUACUUAUUUGGGGGAAUGAUUAAGUGAAAGAAAUAUGAAUGAUUAUUUAUAAUCCUUGUUUGAGAGAAGAAUUAAGUGAAAUGAUUACGAGAUAUUAUUAUAAUCUUUGUUUGGGAGAAGGAUUAUGACAAAAAAAUUUGUAUUUUUUUUUUCAUUUGUGUAAUUUUUUCAUUUGUACGUUAACUCCAAUAUGAGAAAAAAUACAUAAUUAUUUUUUUCUUGAAAAUGAAAUUGUUUUUUUUGUCACGAACCCAAUACAAAAUGAAAAAUGUGCUAAUAUUUUUUGUAUUUGUAUAAAUUGUUCGUACCAUAAAAUCUCUACAACCAAAAAUUGUAUUCAAAUUCAUUUUUUUAGUUAGGUUGUAUCGUAAUCCAAACGUUCACAAAAAAAUUGUAUUGAUUUUGUAUAAAUAUAUAUUUUUACUUGUAACAUGCACCUAAUAUACUUUCAAAACUAAAGUUUUUUUUUCUCAUUUGUAUAGUAGUUUUUUAUUAAAUCAAGUACACAAAAUAAAGUUGUAUUAAUUUUUUGUUGGUUGUGUAAAAUAUGUUUAUGAAAUUUAUAUUAUAAAUUCAAUUCACAUAGAAAUUGUGUUAUUUAAUUUGUCAUUUGUAUUCAAUCUGUAGUUCAACUUGAUCCGUAAAUCUAAUACAUUAAAAAAAUAUUCUCUUUUUUCAAUGUGUAAGAAAUAUUUAUGAAAUGUUUUGUGUAAACCAAAUACAAACAAAAAUGUAUUAAUUUUUCUUUUUCGCAUUUGUCUAAACCUAUUUAUUUUGUUAGUACGGUUUCUAAAACGACGAAAAAUUAUAUUAAAAUAAUGUUUAUACUUCAUUUCUACCGUAACCCCGGCACACAACAAAUAUGUAUUAAUUUUUAAAUUGAUUUUGUAUAAAAAAAAAACAAUUGAACCGUACACACAAUACACAAUGCAGAGAAAUUGUAUUAUUUUUUUUCAUUUAUAUAAAAUAUGUUUCUUCAAAUUGUACCAUAAAUAGAAUACAAAAAGAAAU